AAUAUUGCCACUCCCCCUAUUGCUAUACCAAUAACCAGUCCGGUCGAUACACCACUGCUUGAUGACGGUGGCGACGGAGGAGAUGGAGUUCCUGAAUUCCUCGAAGGAGGUGGUGGUGGAGAUGAAGUACCUGGACUUCUCGGGGCAGGUGGCGAUGGAGUUGACGUAGAAGGAGGUGUAAGAGAAGGGGUAGAGGAUGGUGGUGGAGAUGCUGCUUCUGAAGGUGGAGGGGAUACGGAUGAUAUUGGAGGAGGCGAUGAAGCGGAGGGGGAAGGAGUGGUGCUUGAAGGAGGAGGAGCUGAUGGGGUGGCUGGAGGUGGAGAUGGGGUACCAGAUGGCGGGGAGGGAGGACUAGUUGGCGGCGGAGCUGCUGCGGUUGGUGGUGGUGUAGGAGUGUUAGUUGGCGGCGGAGUUGCUGCGGUUGGUGGUGGUGUGGAAGGAGUGGUAGUUGGCGGCGGAUUUGCGGUGGAUGGCGGCGAUUGGGAAGGAGGACUACUCGGCGGCGGAGCUCCGGCUGAAGAUGGCGGCGGAGACGUAGUGUUUGUUGAUGGUGGUGGUGAUGACGGCGCCGGAGUCCCCCCUGGUGGUGGUGAUGACAUUAUUGUAUUCUAUAUAACAAAAUGAAAAGACAAAACAAAAUACAUAAACAAAAAACAAAAAACUUUUUCAGUGUUUGUUUAAAAGAAGGAAUGUGUUUUUAAGAGCGAAAGAACAAAAAUAAAAUAUUUUUUUCCGGGAAAAUUGGUUUACUUCGACAGAAAUGGCAGGAAAAUAAUAUUUAUAAUAAUUAAACUAAUAAAAGUAUUUUCAGUAAUUCAGUAUUUUUAAAAAAAUAGAUUUAUGACGUAGAAGUUUUAUACAAAUCAGUGAUGCCUAAUACGCGUUUUAAAUUAAAUAACAUAUUAUCUUACACUAUCUAUGUUUACGCUAAUUUCUAAAUUAUGAUUUUUGUCUCCGUGAUUUAUGCAUCCCAAACUUCUUUAAUAUUUGCAUUUUGCCCCCUUUUUUCAUUUCUCAAUUUUUUUUUAUUUUUUUAUAUACAAUUUAAAAUAAGAUUUGAACUUAAAAUAUUAUCAACUGUAUUCCCUCAAUUUUAUUAUCUCAAGUAAAGACAUAUUUAGUAUUUAAAUUAUUUUUUUAUAAAUUUAUUAGAUAAUUAAUUUUAUCAUUGAAUGUGCCAUAAAUCUAGUAUUGAUAAUGAUUGAUACUUUUUGGCCGACACUUCAAAAUAAUUUGUAGUUAAAAGUUUUAUGCUGGCAUCUCAAAAUUUAAAUUCCGAUAUUAAUAUCUCCUUCCUUUUAGAUUGUAAUGUUUAAAAAAAAAAUGUAUAUAAAUUUUAUAGAAAACCCAAACAUAAUAAAAUUCACAAAAUUUCAACCUUUAAAUUAAAUCAAUUCAAUUCAAUCCAAUUCUAAGUUCAAAGAAAAUUCAAAAUAAUGAAAAGGAAUUCAAUUGAUCUAAUUUAGUAUAUAAAUUAUUAAAUUAUUGAUUUUGUAUUAACAAUUUAAUGAUAAUCUUUAAUAAUGAUUUUCAAAAAGUAUGAGAAUCAAAUCCUCAAUUCUAUAAAUUUGGAUAUGAAGAAGCAUCAUCAAUAUAUAUAAAAAAAAUCUUUAAAAAAAUAAAUAUUAAAUAUUUUGACCCUUUAACUAAAUUUUAAAUAUUUAAUCCAAUCAAAAUUCAAAUUCAAAGAACCAAUCAAAAACAGCUAAAUUGGUCUAAUUUGGAUGGAGUCAAAUAGGUUAUUGAAAUUCUAUUUGACAUUUUUAUUUUAUUUGUACCCAGUCUAAAGCAACUUGUAUUGGAAACAUUUUAUGAUACUAAAAUAUAUUUUUUUAUUUUUUAAUAUUGAUUUUAUUAUAAAUUUUUAUAAUAUCUAUUUUUUUAUAUCUAAAAUUUAGAAAUUACAUAUAGUCCCACCUUCACUCUUAAAUAAGAAGAUGAUAUAUUUUAACUACUCAGAUUCACGUUUUUUUAUACAUAUCAAUUAAAUUAAAACUCAAUAAAAAAUAUGGAUAUAGUUAAAAGAACAAAAUAUAAUGAAAUAAAUGAUUGGCAGAUUUUAUGGGAUUAGAUGAUGACAGUCCAAUCAUACCGUCAUGGCAUCACUUCAAUUAAAGUUUGGCAACAAAUUUGCUUCAUUUGAAAAACAAACGUCUAUCAAAUGAAAACUCUUGCUCAGCAGUCAUAUUUUCACAAGUUUUUUCUUUAAGAAUUUCUAUAUGUAUUUAAAAAAUAAUAUAAAAUAUAAUCGAAUAAAUUAUUGAAUAUAUUUGAACACAACUCAUCUAUAAUAACUAUAUACUUGAUAUUCGUGUAAAGUAAAAUUUGAGCAUCAAUAUUUGAUAAUCCAAAAUUAUGAAAAAUAAUAGUUGAGUAUGAACAUAACGGGCUAACUUAUGAUUUUUGUCACGUUGAAUCCUUGAAAUUUAAUUUUAUACAUAUUAAAAUUUUUAUUAUUAUAAAUAUAACAAUUAUAUCAUACAAUAAAAUUAAUAUAAAAAUAUAGCAGGAUGAAAAAUUAGAUAAAAUUCAUUUAUGAUGAACUUUAAGUAUCGUAAUUAUGCACGAUGAACGUUGAAUUUGGAUACUUGAUAGCAUAAAACUUUCACUAAAAUCGAGUUGGUUAAUUUGAUAUAUACUUUAAUUUAUCUAUAUUGUGAAAUUAUUUUAAAAUAAAAUUUUGAAAUUACAUGUAUGUUAUUCAAAAGAGGAAAUUAAUAAAUUGUGGAUAUAAAAAAAAUAGCUUGCUUUUACUAAUUUUUCAUUUAAAAAAUCUACAACUCAACCUUAUGCUUUUGAUUAUUUUUAAAUUCUAAAUCAAUCUACUAACCCAAAUUUUUAAUCGUAUUGAAUGAUUUGGACAAAUGCAUUAAUAUUAAUAAUGAAGGGUAAAUUUCAUUAAUUGUCCCGAACUUUUGAUUAAAAUUACAUUUCUGGCACCUAAUUUUCGAAAGUUACAUAAUGGUCACUAAAGUUAUUGAAAUGUUAUAUUUUACACAUUUUGUCAUUUUGUUCCUGAUUCUAAAAAAUUCAACAAAUAUAACCUUAAUAUUUGCACAUUUUAUUAAUUCUGUCCAAAUUAAAAAAAUUAUAAUUUUAAAAGCUUGAAAAUAUAUAAAAUUUAUUAUACAAUGACAUAAAUAUAUAUAUAAUUACAUAGAGGCUUAAAUAUGAAUUUGGUUGAGGGAUUCAAAUCAACAUUUCUUGAAUUUUAACAACUUUUUUGGAUGAUUCAACAAAAUUUAACCUUCAGUUUCUCUUAAUUUUUUUCAUCAAUAUUUUUUUUCUUUUAAACCUCACCAAGCUAAAUGAGUCAUUUAAAUUAAUUUUUUGAAUCAAUAAGAACGCAUUGUCACGCAAUGGAACAAUGAAAAGAAAAAAUUUUACAUAUUAAAACUUAAGUGACUAUCUGAGUAGUUUACCCUUUAAAAUUUUUAAAAAUUAUUAGCAAUAAAAAAUUUAAAAGCUAAUCGUUUAAAUUAACAUGCCACGUCACCCUCUUAAUGGAAGUUAACGAAUGAGUGAUAAAAAUGGAAUAUUUCAAUAACUUUAAUGACAAUAAUGUAACUUUUAAAAAUUAGACGAUUGAAAUGUAAUUUAAAUUAAAAUUAAGAGAGGAUUGAUAUGAUUUACUCAUAAUAGAAACACUGAGAUUGAAUGUAAUUAAACUAAUUUUACAUGUUUAAUAAUUCAAAAAAAAAAGAAAAAGAAAGGUUUGACCAACAUAUUGUGAAUUUCCCAUAAUAUUCUAAAUUAACAAACAGAUAAAACGAUAAUAAUUUCAAACAAAUUGUGGCCGAAAUCUUAUAAUCGUCAAAUUAGCUAAAUGCCGAAAUUAAGACCUUAACCAUCAAUUUUAUUAUUUUAUUUUUUUUCUAAUUUUUAUUUUUUAAUAUAAUAUUAAAAAUUAUUUAUAGUCUCCUCCCACUCUCUAAAUAAGAGGAUAAUACAUUUCAACGUAUUUGAACUCAUAUCCACUAUGACAGACAAUAAUAUUAAUAUCAACUAAACUAAAACUCAACAAGCAAAAAUUAACAUAAUUAAAUUCUUAAAAAGCGAAUUAGCAUUUAUGAAAUUAUUAUUCUAUUUUUUUUUCUUUGGCGAAAACUAGUAUGGAAUUAGCUCUAUAAAAUGGGGGAAUAUUCCCAAACAUCAAGAUAUGAUGAUGAUGUGAUAGAAAAUUCUGGUUCCAUUGCUUUCAAAUGCUAAAGGUGAAAUUUGAGAUUUUUUUUUUUUGUCUGAGAGCAAAACAAAGUGGUAGAAAAUACUGCAAUUAAUAAAAAAUAUAUUUAAAGGUAACUAUAAAAGUUUAGGUGUAAUUUUAUAAUGGUUUAAUUUUUAAAGGGAUUAAAUAAAAAAAAUUCAUUUAAGCUUAAAAUGCAAUAUUAUCUUUUAACUUUAUCAUUUAGGAGAGGAUUAACAAGUAAUUUUUCUAUUUUUUGAUUAACAAGUAAUUUUUCUAUUUUUCUGGGGCUAUCUGUUUCCUUAGAUUCACGUUUGCUUCUACCAAAGAAGUCUUCUCAUUGUUGGAUGAGGCAGAUGUUUUGAGUUAUUUUGCAUCCAGUUUUGAGUUUUAUGAUACGUAAUUAAGUUAUGUGAGUUUUCAGUCCUAACAUGUACAUAUAUUAUAGAUAAGUUUAUUUAGGGUAAAAGUAUUAUGGAGACCCUUGUAUUAAGAGUUGAAUUGUAUUUUGCUCACUCUAUUUGAAAAACGGGCGAAUUAUUCCUUGUAGGAUAAACCAAAAAGCAAUUUAGUAUUUCUUUUAUAAAUUACAUCAAUUUCUAUUGUUAAAAAUUAUUUCUUAUAACUCAACAUGAUGUGCAUGUGUCGUGCCACAUAUUACUAUAUGGUUAUUUUAUAGCCAUGCUAAUUUUAACAUGACAAGUAGAUGAAAUUUUUAAUAGAAAAAACCAAUAUGCUAUAUGAACUAACAUACAGGGAUUGCUUGCUUAUUUUUUGCAUGGAGGGGCAAAAUGUAACCUAACUCCUAGUAUAUAGGAGUUUCUAUAGUACUUUUUAUCAUUUAUCUGGCUAUUUAUUUGGGAUACUUUGUAUUAGUUGAAUUCUACUUUCUAAUUGCUUAAACUUGCAUUUAUAAUUAUAUUAUACUUAUGUUUAUACUGUAUUUGCAAUAACUUUAAAAUGGUAGAAAAUAUGGUCUAACUCUAAAUUUAAUUUUCCCACUUUAUAAAAAUUGAGAAAUUGAUUUUUCUAUUUUAAUUUAUCAUAAUUUUGUCCUCGAAAAGUAAUAAAUUAUUCUAAUUAUUGGCAAAACACAUGAAUUUUAACUUAAUCUAGUUUUCUUUUAUAAAUUGUUACAUAUAAAUUAUUAAACUAGUGAUUUUUAUGCUAGGUCCUUAUAUAUAAUUACUAAACCAUUGAUUUUCGUAAGGCAUGAGAACUGAGUUUUGAUAAAUUGAAGGACCUAAUUGGAUAUUAUAGUUAGAAAAUACAAUUUUGUGAAAGGAUUAGGUUAUAUACAAAUUCGACAUAUUUUAUAUAUAUUCACAUUUUGAACUUUGAAGGCUAUUUAAAGGCGAUAGCUGUUACUCCAAGUAAAGCCAAACCAGCUUACAACCAACACUCAAUUGCAAGUUAAAGAGAGGGACGUUUUUCCUAAAAAAUAAAAUACUUUUAAGAUUUAAAAAAAAAGGUUUAAAUACAAAAUAGACCUUCAAUUUAUAUUAUUUUUCAUUUAGGUAUUUAAUUACUUUUUUUGGUCAAAAUUAGUAUCUAAAACUAUUGAUUCUUUUUCGUUUUAACUUAAAAUACGAUACAUCAAUGAGAAGGUAAUGAAAUUGAUAAUUUAAAUACUAUUUUUUUAAAUAGACAAUUAAGUGGAAAUGUGGUAUAAUUUAAGGAUUAACUUUAUAGUUAAACCUUAAAUUUAAAAUUAAGAAGAAAAGAAAACAACUUAUAAAUAUCAUGAUCCACCCUUUGGACGAUUAAAAAAAAUCAUUAUUUUUACUUUUAAAAAUCUGAUUGAAAUUAAGUCUAAUAUAAAAUUUAAUCAAUUUGAAUUCCGAAUUUGAUUAAUUAUUUUUAAAAAUAUUUUAUAAUUCUUUUCACUUUAAAUAUAAAAUAUUUUCAUAAUAAGUUAAUAAAUAUUAUUAAUAUUGUGACAAAGUCUAAAGUCAUUGGACUAGAAGUGUUUAUGGGUUGAGUAAUAUGUUCAAGAGCCGAGCUUUGGUUUCUAUUUAUCAACCCCAACUCCUCCUAAUAUGAUUAGUUUUACUGUUUAAAAAAUUAUAAAAAUAUAAAAAUAUAAAUGUGUUAAAUUUUAUAUAUUUAUAAAAUUUUUAAAUAGUGAAAUAAGUAAUUUGGAUGGUCUGCAUCAAGCUAGAGCUUAGAAAUUUUUUUGAAAUCGAGUCUAGACUCAAAUUGACCUGUAAAUACUUUUUCAUAUGACAUUGAGUAUCUUAAUUUGAGUUCCACCAUGGUUGGGUUUUUCCUUAAAUUAUUUUGGGCUUAAGUCCCAUACAAAGUUAGUUAUAGGUUUAUUUAUUAUAUUUUAGGGUAAUUCUAGUUUUAAUUACUUUUUGUGAUUCUACUUGUAAUUUAAAAAAAAAUGAUUUUGUCGAUUAAGUCUUAAGCUCAUUGGUAUUGACAUUGUUGUUAGUGCAGAAGGAUGUGGAUUCAAGUACGCUAAAGCAUACUAUCCUCCUAUUUAAAGGUUGAGGAGAGAGGAUAUGGAUAGUACUAUGCGUUGUAUAAAAAGAUUUUUUUUUAUAAUCGUAAAAAGAGAAAUGGGAUUUGCUUAGGAUCAAACCCAAACUUUAAUGCCUACAACACAAUGCUUUUGAUAUUUAUGCUUUUUAACUUUUAAAUAAAAAACUAAGUCGAAUUAAAAUCUAGCCAAAUUUUAUAAAAUCAAGUCGAAUAUAAAUCAAAUUUGGAAAUAAAAAGUACCAUGGAGACCCUUAUACAAAGAGUUAGAUUGCAUUUUGCCCAUUUACUCAAACAGUAGGCAAAUUAGCUCCUAUAUGUUAGAUCAAAGAGCAAAUUGCUAUUUUCUAUUAAAAUUUUCAUCAAUUUCUACUGUAAAAAAUUAGCAUGACUGAUAGAAUAACUAGAAAAUUACACGUUGUGUGCCACAUGAACAUCUGACGUGGCUAAUUUUUAACAAUAAAAAUAGAUAGAAAUUUUAACAAUUUGCUCUUUGAUAUGACGUAAUUAAUCAAUUUACCUAUUUUUUUAAUAAAAAAAAAUUACAAAGACAUCCAUAAUACUUUUACCAUCAAUUUCCAAUUUUUCUUUCCAUUGAGAAAUAAUAUACAAAUUUGACUUGAGAAUAAUAUCAAAUUUUGCAUUUGCUGUUGAACAAUACAUGGAAAACAAAGAAAAAUGGAAUCGAUAUUCAUUAAGUACUUUUCUUUUAAAAAAAAGUCAGUUAAUUAUAAUUGGAAUAAAUAAUUAAAAUGUGCUUCUACUAUAAGGUUAGAAGCAAUUUAGUCAUUCUCAAAAUAAAUAAAAUAAUUUAAUUAUUGUAUUAUUAGAAAGUGAGCAAAUAAAUAAAAUUGAUGAUUGCGUUAAUCAUUUCCGUUAAAAGUUAUACCAAAAAUAGUGAAGGCUGUUAUCAAUUAAUUUAGGGAUUAGAUUGUUGUAUUUAUUUUGAAAGGGACUAAAUUGCUCCUGAUAUUAUAAUAUAAGUACCUCUUGUAUAUUUAUUCCAUUAUAGUUGUUUGGCUUCUUAUUGAAAUUUAACCAUUUAAGUAAUUACGUAGACAUGUAGACAUAGUUGGGAAAUAUUUGGUGGUGUUUUCAAAAUUAUAAAGAGGUAACUUUUGGCCUAAGAAUUUGACUUAAAAAGGACAUAAUAACCCCUUUUUAUGAUAGUAAUUUCAACAAUUUUGUCAAUUUUAUAUUUUGAUCUUAAUAAUUCAUAAGUAUGCCACAUCAGUAAAGUUAAACGUUUUUUUUUAUAAUUUCACAAACAAUAUAAGUUUCAGGACUAAAAUAAAAGAAAAAAUAAAUAGAGAACUAAAAUGAUUUUUAUUAAGAAACUGGAGGGCCAAAUUUUUAUAAAUCUAUAUAAAAUUAUAGUGCGUUAUAAAGAAAGCCAAGUCCAAAAAAAAGAGGCCGAACACUUAGAAUGGUCUUGUGCAUUCUACUAUAUUCCAUAUCAUCCUGUAUUUCAGGAGUGAGUACAGACGGCAACAAGUAGGGCCUUAGCCUCUUUUGGUCUAAAUGGUUAAAAUUCAAUACUAGUCCUUCUUGAAAAAAUACAAUUCAAUUUACGUUUUUCUUAAAUAUAAACUUAUGCCUUAGUCUCCUUCAAUAAUUUUGGUUUUAUUUCGGCCUUUAAUAUAAAAUUUCUAACUUUACCAAAGUACGAAUCUAAAUGGACUGAGUCCAACUCACUUUUCUCCGUGACUAUUGUACAGGCCAAUUUUGGGCCAUCCCCAAAACCCAAUAACCUACCUACCCUAAUCCAAAAAACCCUUAACCCAAUAAGCCCAUUAAACAAAACAAGCCCAAACCAAUACCAAAACCCUAGCCCAACUAUUUCAAAUUUUUUCAGCAAUCAACCUUCAGCCGCAACUCAGCCCCCCAGGUGUGCUGCCGAACCUCUAGGCCAACCAUUGGCCACCUUGCGCACUACCACCGUCGCACGCCCCACGCAUGCCCCUCUCCUCCAUGCGUCUGACACCCCUCAAAGCCUGCAAACAAGCAAGAAAAGAGGACACAAAAAGACAAAAACCAUGUGCAAACAGCAAAGGAGAUAGCAGAAACAAUAGCGAAAUCGGCUAUAAAGCCUUGGGGAGGAACCCGAUCAUGGAGGGGAGGAACGCUCACUGGGCACAAUAUACGUUUCUGCAUACAUACAUAAACAAAAAAAAUCCAGUAUAAAGGUGAUCUCUAGUUUUUUUCCCUCUUUCUUUUCGGAUCUAUUUUUGGUUUGCUAGAUUUCUUUUAAUUUAUGGAUCGACACCAAGGAAAACCCAAUGAUCUCUGAAAUGAAGAGAUUUAGGUGAGGGUCGAAUGUUCUUCUCAACUUUUUUCUUCUUUGUUUUUUGUUUUAUUUUCAAAGAAGCAAAGCACAAUUUAAAGUUUUUUUUUUAAAAAAAAAAGGAAAUGAGAUGGAUUGGUUUACCAGAUCUCCAUGAUUGCAAUCUUCACAGGCAAAGGUUGGGUUGUUGACCGCACGUCGUCGGCCAUUAGUCCAAUAUUGGCUCGUCGUCUGCUAGCCAAAUGAAACCCUAUCAUUUGGGGGUUAAUGGCUGUUACUACUUUUAAAAAAAUAGUUGAAAUUAGAUUAUGUUUGAAGAAAAGGGGGUUUAAAAUCCUUCACAAAGCCACGCGGCACUGUUUAUAGCAGUAAAGGUCUACGCAUUGGCCCAAAAAAGUGAAAUGGAUUUGCACCAUUUUGUUAAAUGGCAGAUUUGCACGUUAGAUCCCCCUCUUGCGCGAGUCUUCAAUUUGUGCCCAAUUGGCUUACCUUGUAUUUUAAAAUUUGGCCUGCUAAUUUGUGCAUCAUUUCAUUUUGAUCCGCGGUUCAUUAAUGCAUUGUGGAUGCGAGACAUUUACAAAUUCAGUCCUCCUACAUUUAUGUGCAUUGAGCAUUAAUUCAUUUUGUAAUUGCUUUAUUUGCAAAUUAUCUUCCUUAUUUUUACUGUAAGUUUAAUUUGGCCUUGUAAUUCUACGAUUGGUUAAUUUUUAAAUGCAUUUAAUAUGUGUAAUACCUUACCAUGAAUUAUUAUUUCUUGGUAUUUAGUAUAUUAUUUAAAUUAUUAUUAAACAUAUAUUUUGUAUUUAUAUUUAAUUUGCAUCCAUUAGUAAAGUUUUAAUAUUCUUAUACAUAUAGAUUUUAAUAAGUUUGUAAUUAAUUGUGUUUUUUUUUUAAAAAAAAUAAUUAUUAUGUAUAUAAUUUAUGAUAAAAUUAGGUUAAUCCUAUAAUUCAUAUUUUAAUUAGAUGAUUUUGACAUAUAAUUACUUCUUACAUUUUUCACAUGUAUAGGGUACAUAUUAAAUUAUUUUUGCUAUGGUACAUGUCAUUAUUUUCAUAUAACCUUAUGUAAAUAUUUUUCUAUGUAUAUAUAUUCUCUUUCAAAAUUAUUUAUGUGAAUAAUAUUUUUAAAUCAUUCAUUGUAUCUUAUAUUAUCCUUAUGUUUUAUAUAUAUAUAUUUUGUUAUUUAUAUAACGUAUAUGUUUACUUCUUUUUUUAUACAAUAUUAAUUUCAUUCUUUUUAUCAAUAAUUAUACCCAAUGUUUAUCUGUAUAUAAAGAUUUCAUAAAUUUACUUUAUAUAUUAUCUUAUAUCAUAUUUCAAGUCAAACUAAUAUGUUUUAAGCUAUUUUUAUAAUCAAUCAUUUAAAAAUUCUUUAAAACGAAGGCGAUGUGCGAUAUUUGGCAAUUCGCAGAAUCGUGUCCUAACGUGUUGGGUUACAAUUUCUCGUUUGCUUAAAAUAAUCAAAUAUCCCUUCAAAAUUUCACGCAUACCUUCUAAAAAUCAUUUAAAACGAAGGCAAUAUUCGGCGUUUGACAAUUCGGGAAUCAUGCCCUAUCGUGCUGGGUUGUGAUUUCUCGUUUGUUCAAAACAAUCGAAUAUUCCUUUAGAUUUUCAUUCAUGUUUAUUUAAAACCUUGAAAAAAACGAAGGUGAUGUUCGAUGUUUGGCGAUUUGAGAAUCGAGCCCUAUCGUGCUGGGUUGUGCUUUUUCAUUUGCUCAAAAUAAUUGAAGAUCCCUUCGAAAUUUCACUCGUAUUUUCUAAGGUGAGGCAAUGUUCGAUGUUCGGAAAUUCGAGGAAUCGUGCCCUACUGUGCUGGGUUUCGGUUUUUCGUUGGACCAAAUAGUUGGGCAUCCUUUUGCGAUUUUCAAAUUAUAAAUUUGCGGUCAUCGAAACAAGAAGAUUUUUGACAAUCAACUCGGGUCACUCGAACGUUAUUAGAAAAGAACCACAUUUCCAAAACAUUUUUAUCUUCGACACUAAGACACUAAUUAAUCAACUAGGUACCAAUUUUGGGCGUAUCGAGGGUGCAAAUCCUUCCUCGUGCGUAACCGACUCCCGAACUCAUUUUUCUGAAUUUCGUAGACCAAAAUCGUUGUUUUAAUAAAAUUAAAUCAUUUAUUAAAAACAACCACUUUUUGAGGUGACCCGAUCACACCUCGUCAAAAAAGGAUUGGUGGCGACUCCCGUUUUCAUUCUUUUUUUCAAAAUCCAAGUCGACCCCGUUUUCAUCAAAAAAAUGGUGUCAACAGCUUGGCGACUCCACUGGGGAGAAUAAGAGAGUCAAGCCACGUGUUGAUUAUUUCUUGUCUUUUUGUUGAAAGUGGAAAAUUCGAUUUAAAUUUACGAUCCUCUCAUUGCAUCUCUUUUGUUUUGAGUUAUUUUUUUAUCGUGUUCUGUAUUUUAUUUUAUACCUCUGCACAUUGCAUUGCAUGACCGCUGGUCACACCUUUUAAGUGGGAGUGAGAAACUACGCCUUCGUGAGGUUUUCACCUCCGCAUGGGAUAGUGAAUCGCUUCCGGGAUACAUCCGUACCUAUGUCUUCGUGAGAUUUUCAUCUCCGCAUGGCCAUAGGGAAAUGUAUUCCCCUGAACUGAACUCGGUCCAUAUGAGCCUAUAAUGGGUGAGGAUCGAGGAAUCUGCUGGUUCAGGUACCCUUACUUUAGAACCAAACCACACAUANNNNNNNNNNNNNNNNNNNNNNNNNNNNNNNNNNNNNNNNNNNNNNNNNNNNNNNNNNNNNNNNNNNNNNNNNNNNNNNNNNNNNNNNNNNNNNNNNNNNNNNNNNNNNNNNNNNNNNNNNNNNNNNNNNNNNNNNNNNNNNNNNNNNNNNNNNNNNNNNNNNNNNNNNNNNNNNNNNNNNNNNNNNNNNNNNNNNNNNNNNNNNNNNNNNNNNNNNNNNNNNNNNNNNNNNNNNNNNNNNNNNNNNNNNNNNNNNNNNNNNNNNNNNNNNNNNNNNNNNNNNNNNNNNNNNNNNNNNNNNNNNNNNNNNNNNNNNNNNNNNNNNNNNNNNNNNNNNNNNNNNNNNNNNNNNNNNNNNNNNNNNNNNNNNNNNNNNNNNNNNNNNNNNNNNNNNNNNNNNNNNNNNNNNNNNNNNNNNNNNNNNNNNNNNNNNNNNNNNNNNNNNNNNNNNNNNNNNNNNNNNNNNNNNNNNNNNNNNNNNNNNNNNNNNNNNNNNNNNNUUGCUUCGAUAGCUAUAAAACGAGAGAAGAACUUCAGUUUUCAAAAGUUUCAAGUAUGGAAAUCAUCUUUUUUUCAAUCAUUAUAAUCAUGUAUGCUUUUGAUAAAGUUGUAACUUUAUUUUUGUUAUAGAAAUGGCUUGACUACUAUGGACCGUUUGAAGCUGUGGUUGAUGCGGCUAAUGUCGGUCUUUUCAGCCAGAAAAGAUUCAUGCCAUCAAAGGUCAAUGCUGUUGUUAAUGCAAUACGACAGAAACUUCCAUCAAGGAGAUGGCCACUUAUUGUUUUGCAUAACAAACGGAUCACUGGACGGAAGAUGGAUGAACCAGUAAAUAAAGCAUUAAUUGAUAAGUGGAAAAAUGCCGAUGCUCUAUAUUCAACACCAACCGGUUCCAAUGAUGAUUGGUACGAAAUACGGGAAGUUACAGCUAACUUGCAUGAUUGCUUAUUUGCAUAAUGGCACAUUACGGUUCUAUUUAAUCUGUGCUUCAGGUACUGGUUGUAUGCAGCUAUCAAGUUUAAGUGUUUAAUCGUGACUAAUGAUGAGAUGAGAGACCAUACCUUUCAACUUUUGGGAAAUGAAUUCUUUCCGAAAUGGAAAGAAAGGCAUCAAGUGAGUAAAGCUCUCGAUAUAUACUCAGUUGCUUAGUAUGAUUCUCUAAAGCAAUUCUACUAAUAAAGAAUCUGUCCUUUUUCCUUAUCAAAGGUGCAUUUCAGUUUCUCAAACACCAGUCCAGUAGUUUACAUGCCUCCUCCAUGUUCAGUAGUAAUUCAGGUAAGUCCCUACGAACUAUAAAUCGAAAGAAUAGAGAGAGAUAUAGUGUGCUGAAUCUUCAUAUAUGCAAAUACAUGUCAAUAGGAAUCAGAGAAAGGCCACUGGCAUAUUCCCAUUGCAUCGGAACUCGAUUAUGAUUCUGAAAGAACAUGGUUAUGCAUUAGACGAGCUAACUCACAUACGGUGAAGGAAGAUUCCGUAGCCAUAACUGAAGGUAUUACCGAGCUUAGUUUAUCAGUGUUUCUUCACUCAGCUAUCAUAUGUCACAUAGUAGUAGUAUGCAUGCAAUUUAUUUGAUGUCAGCAAAUUCGACUUUAUGGUGUCCCAUUGAUUUGUUUACAUACAAGGUUUUCAUGUGUGACAGAUUCGCAGUCUCUUAACCGUAACAAGGAACAUACCAAGUCAACUACUCAAACCAAAGUUAACUCGAAUUUCCUGCCAUUAAACAAUGGAAACUAUGAUAAACCACGAAAGCUAGCUGAGGAAAUGUACAAAAACAUCACCAGUAUUUCGUUUGCUUCUGUCUCCUCCGAUCAACACAAACUUCUAUCAGAAAUAGAAGCCGCAGAGAUGCUUGGCAACUGUGUAAUCGACUUUCAAAUAUGAAACAAGUGGCUUUCGUGUAAAGUUUUGGAAAUUGUAUUGAACUACCAGUAGGAAUCUGUUUUUAGUUGUAUAGUUAUGAAGUGCCUGAGCCGAGUUUAUAUUGAACUAUGGUGUAUUUUAGCAGGGUUUUUGCCCAUCGGAAGCUGUUUCUUUCUGGAGAGAAAGUAUCCAAUUUUGCCAAAGUGCAAUCCGAAUUUGCCAAGACAUCACCAGCGUUAUAUAUAUAGCAUUUCAAUUCUCCUAUCUUGAUUAUGUUUAUAAUUAGCUAGUUUUCUCCAUGUAUUGAACUCUUAUUCUUACUCUUUUAUGUUAAUUUGCUCCUUCUUUUUUGAAAUACCGAUAGCAACAGUAGCAACCAUUGAGAAAUUGAAUGAAGAACCAAGGUAUGUUGACUCUCUUUAUCUACGCAACAUUAGAGUGAUAUAUAUACACACAUACACAUAUAGACAUUAGCUUGAUCUUCCAUGUUUCUAACCGGUUCAUUAUUGUAGGGAUUAUACUGCUCCAUGUCCAGUAAAAGUCAUAGACAAGCAUGAACUUGACACUAAAGAGUGCUGCUUUUCUUCUUCACAUGUGCAGACAAGUGACUCAGGAUUCAGCAUUAGAACUAAUUUAGUUUCAUGGUGCAUUUUGAGGCAAAAAAUUUACAUACUUGCAGACCAAGUAAAUGACAGAACAGUUUACUAGAGAUGAAGACAGCCGGAAAGCAGUUCCCGAAUACAUCAAAUCUUAAAAGAGUCAUAUAAUGACUUCCCUGUCCAAAUUUGGACAUUAGUUACUGUCCCCAAUGGAAUCCUACAUUGGACAUUUGGACUGAACAUAUGUAAAUUAAGGUAACCUUUCUUUCUAACUGUAUAUACAUUUAUAUGUACUUGUCUCCCAGUUAUUGCAUUUUCUCUAUCUAUCAAUCACGACCUUUUGGACUUCUAUUGCCACUUAAGGAUUCCAGCUUCUCUAGAUUAGGAGACUUUUUCUGAGUAGAACUAACCGGUGGCUUGGCCAGUUUUUUGUCAUUGUCACCCUUAAAGUAGAUUUCUAGAUCAGUUGAGCUUCUUCUCCUUGAAGCAAUACCCCAACCCAUAAAAUCUGAUAGUGUUGGUGUGUCUGAACUGCUCACCCUCAAUGCAUCUUCAUCAGAUGAACUAGGGGAUGUCUCGGAUUUUUGUGGUGAUGAUGUUUGAGCAAGGGAAUCAGCAUGAAGGACAUCCUCGAUUCUUGACAUGACAUUGAAGGCCAAGCUCUCUAGAAUCCUUGAAUAGCUCUCUAGAAUAGCGUGUCCUACAUCCUGGUGAAAAAUUGAAGAUCAAGUAAGUUUUUUAUCAUCAACCUUUGAAUAACAUUUAAUGCUUUGCUUGUUGUGUAUGUACCCUAUUAUCUUGUAACUUAGAUAUAUCGAGUGAAGAUUGUGGAAUUCCGGGAUAACGUUGCUUUAACAAGAUUAAAAUAGUUUCCGCCCUUUCUUCGAAGAGUUCCCUUUUUUCCAAGCUAACACCCGAACCCCAAGAAGACCUACCGUCUUUUUGGUGCAUCUUCCUCUUCCAAAUGACAAUGGAAGCCUCAAUCCUAUUCUUAAGGUCAAGAACUUUGUGUUCCGUCGACAAGUCCAUAGUCAAAAGGAAUUGUGAUGGAUCAAAGUGGUCCACUGUAAUGCCCUUAUAGAUCAAAUCACCGAGGCUCGCUCUUCCAUUCUACAUGAUGGAGAAGAUCAAUAAAGGUAACUAAAAAAAUGAUUAAAAGAAGUUAGUAAAAGUACCAUGGAGGCUCCUGUACUAAGAGUCAAAUUGCAUUUUAGCCCUUCUACUAAAAAAAAAGUUGAAUUAGUCCUUGUAUGUUAGUUCAAAGAGUAAAUUGGUCUUUUCUGUUAAAAAUUUCAUCCAUUUAUACUUUUAAAAAUUGGCAUGGCUGACAGAAUAAUAAAAAAUAGAGGGAAUUUUUAAUAGAAUGACCAAGGACUAAUUUGCCCAUUUUUUCAGUAGAGGGGGAAAAAUGCAAUCCGACUCCUUUACAAGAGCCUCCAUGGUACUUUUACCAAAGAAGUCUUAUUUCUUUACCCUGGGGAGUGAAUCAAUGUAACUUUCAGGUAUCUCUAUUUCAGAUAGUACUUCAGCAUUGAUAGCCAUAGCUGCUUUUAGCACCUGGUUUACUGACUCCUUUUGACACUGCAGCCAUCUCCGUGACAUUUCCGAUAACCCGUUUACAGGUACUUUAACAGUUGGAUGCCACCAUUUAUCGUCCCUUUGACCGUUUUCAUUCUCUUGGUCAUCAUCUUUAGAGACAUACCAAAAUUCUUUUUCUUGUCCAAAGCCAUCAAGAGUCUCCUGUUUUUUAAUUAUAAAUUUUGAUCAAAUAUUUGUUUAUCAUAUGAUCUUUAUCACUAAAAGUUUCAUGGAGGCUCCUUCAAAUUGCAUUUUACCCUCUCUAUUCAAAAAAUAAGCAAAUUAGUCUUUGUACGUUGGAUAAAAGAGCAAAUUGAUUAUUUCUGUUAGAAAUUUCAUCCAUUUGUCAUGUUGAAAAUUGGCAUGGCUAACAAAAUAACUAGAUAGUAUCACUUGGCAUGCCAUGUGUACGUCAUGCUAAUGUAUAGGAACUAGUUUUUAACAUUACAAACUGAUGAAAUUUUUAACAUAAAAGACUAGUUUGUUCUUUAAUCUAUCGUAUAGAGAUUGAUUGACUCAUUUUUUUUCAGUAGAAAGGGUAAAAUAUGAUCUGACUUAUAGUACAUGGGCCUCCAUGAUACUUUUAGCGAUUUUUAUCAAGUUAACUAGAAGGAUAAAGUUACUCACGAUAAGCAUCGUGUCGAGUUUUCUUAGACCAGGUAUGUUCACAAGCAGAUCACUCCUUUGUCUCGUGACCAUAAUCUAUCCAAAUUCGAAACAAGUUGUUGUGAGUUCAUAUAGUGAAAUGGUAGCACUAGUUCGAAGAUUUGUGAGUUAUAUGUUACCUCCAUGUUCGUUCCGUUCUUCGUUUUCUGUUGCGAAGGAACGAAUUCGACAAUGUGAUCGGUUACAGAUAGAAGCCAAUCCAUUUCUUUUCUCCACCUUGCUUUGGUUUCUGGUGCCAUAGGUCCUAAUUUCACUUGUUCCCCAAAAACAGAUGCUGCAAUUAUCAUUUACCAAUAUGUUCAAAUUAUCAACAUUUUUCAUCAUGGAAAUGAAAAAUGAAAGCUAGAAGAUCGAUGGGAUUCGACCCUGAAAUUGCCGGAUUUUGUUUCCUAUGAGUGGUUACAUGAACUAACUAAGCUAAACUUUGAGGUUUUUAUUAUGCAUUUGAUAAUUAGAUUUUGGCAUAAUGUCAGAUCUGAUCCUUAUUCAUUUUUUAACUAAAUUUGGUUCUCAAUUUUUUAAAAAGAGUCAAUUUGAUCUUUAAUCUUUUAAAAAAAGAGUCGAGUUGAUGUUUUUAAUGGAAACUCUGACUAAUAUGGCAUCCAUAUCACAACUCAUGUGUACUUCAUGCUUCUUUUUUUAAUAUUGAAUUUUUUUUUCAAUUUUUGAAUAUUUUUAUAAUUUUAAAAUUAUUUGUUGACGUGGCAUAUAAGAUGAAUAAUGCCAUGUUAGUGUGAAAUACAUGUAAACUAACAUAUAAGAAAAGCAAUUUGAUCCUUUUUGAAAGUUUUAGAGUCAAAUUUAGCUCUAAAAAAAUAAAGAAAUAAGUUUAUCAUUAUACCGUAAAUUUUAGACAAGAAAUGUUCUACCUGCUAGGUUUGUCACUGCAUUUGACAAAGCCAAAGCCGAAGGAACACCUUUGCCUCCUCCUGACAUAUCUUCUCCCAGAAGCAACUUAGAAAACCUUUCCUUCAUCUGCUCCAUAUCUGUAUCAAUAUAUACAUGCAUAUAUAUAUAUAUUAGAAGGAAAUAAUUAGCUUUCUUGUUCAUAGAUUGUAAAGCAAAAAUUAGGAAAAUGAGAUUAGUGGUUAGCUUGGCAGAGUAGAAAAAAGGGAAGAAAUGGAUAUAGGAUGGUGAAAAACCAAAAAAGAACAUUAAUGUUUGAGUGUCUUAGGUAGGGAAGAAAAUUCCGGCUCACUUAACUGCAUUACAAAGAUUAGCUUUGUCUUCAUUAGCUUUCUUGUUCAUAGAUAGUAAAGCAAAAAUACGAAAACGAGUUAGUGGUUUGCUUGGCAGAGUGAAAAAAAAAAACAGAAGAAUGAAUAAAAGAAGGUGAAAAACUGAAAAAGAAUAUGAAUGUUUGAGCGUGUUUGGUAGGAAAAAGAAUUCUUGUUCACUUAGCUGCAUUACAAAAGAUUAGCAUCAUCUUCGUUAGCUUUCUUGUUCAUAGAUUGUAAAGCAAAAAUACGGAAACAAGAUUAGUGGUUUGCUUAGCAGAGUGAAAAAUCUGGAAGAAAUGGAAUUAGGGGUGGUGAAAAACUGAAAAAGAAUAUGGAUGUUUGAGCGUGUUUGGUAGGAAAGAAAAUUCUCGCACCUGUUUGUGGCCUCUCCUGGGGAGUUUCUACCACAGGCUCUCCUAUAUUUUGCUGCCCCAUUGAUUUAUCUUCACUUGGUUGCAGAUUAUCAUCGACAUCAUCCACGUGCUCGUUAUUACCGCCUGCCGCGGUUGCGUUUUGUUGCUGGUGGUGGUGAUGUCUCAUUGGAUUAUCAAACAGGCGAAAAGAUCCUACAUUUCGAGUACUAUACAGGCGAGUCAAUGUUUGAACCAUCAUUCAAUUCCUGUGUUUCUUCUUCUCGUUUUUAAACAGCAAAAAAAUUGAAGAAGAAACAAAGUUGAAAAACAAUUAUAAAAAACAAAACAAAAAACAAAACAGUCUGUUUUUAAUGAGUGAAAAUGAGAGGCUAGCAAGGAUUUUUAUUUGAAUUUUUCAGUCCUGAAAAGAGAUAAAGCUCUUUUGAGUGGUUAAUCUUGUUUGCUGUUUUUGCAGGCAAAGUAUCAACGGUGAAUGUUUUUGGAACACAAAUUUGAGGUUCAGCUGACAAAGAAACUAUAAACCACAAAGACUAAAAAUGGUUGUUUGUUUAAGGUAGGAAAAUCAUUGCCAAAUUUUCCGGGAAAAUCAUUCAAUGGUUAACUGAUUUUAACUAAAUUCUCUGUUUCUUUUUAUGUCUGCUGCUGCCCUUCCUGUUUUCUCUCUUACAGAACCUACCCAUUGUAGUUAAGUUUUGUUCAGUUUAACUGUUACAGUUCUUUAGUUGGAGUAGAGUUGAUAAUGGGACGGGUUGAGGUCUGGUUUCAAAAAAGUUGAUAAAAUAAUGAUUUAUAUAUUUUUAUAAUUAAAAUAUAUAUUUUUUUGUUUAAAUUGAAUUCGGAUUAGGUCAAAAUGAGGUACAAAAAUCCUUAUCCAAUCCCAGCUCGAACUAAGCGGACUAUCCGACCUUUGGGCAAGUUUAAGUUGGAGAGAAUUAUUAUGGUAUGUUAUAGUGAUAAUAUAUGGUCCUCAAAUCUUUAUGGUUCAUGAUAAUUUGUGUUAAUUUGAGGUUUCCCUUUCCAUCCUGAGUAGAAUCAUUGACUUAUGAGGUUAGGACUUGGGAGAAACACAAGGGCAUAGAGAUAAAAUUGUUUGAGGAGUUGGGUUAAUGGCAGUUUAGGUAUUGUCCAAAAAAAAAUAUAAGUUAAAUUAUCUGAAUUGGUCACUCAAUUUUUAGGGUGUUUUUAUUUUGGUCAUUAAAAAAAUAUUUUUGUAAUUUCGUCACCAAUUUUUAAAACGUUUUUAUUUUAGUCGCUCAAGCGUUAAAUUAUUAAUAGCGUACGUCAAAUCAUGUUUACACUUUUAUUUUUUUAACCAACUUCUAGGUUGCUUUCAUUUUGGUCACCAAUAAAAAUAUAUAUUUUUAAGUCUUGGUCGAGUAAAAAAAUAAGGAUUAAAGUGAAAAAAUAAUAGAAAUUAAAAUAAUGUACUAAAAUAUUUUUAAUUUGUAUUUUUUAUGUCAUUGCUGAAAAUUUUAAUAUUUUUUCAAUAAUGAAAUGUUAACUUUCAAAACAUAAUAAUCAAUUAAAUAAAUUGUUGAAAUUUUUUUAUCCGUAGAUAAUAUCAAUGAUUUGUCACUAUAAUAUUGAAAUUAAUAAUUUUUUUUUCUUUUUGUUACUAUAAUAUCGGUCGAUUUGUUAAUAUAAUAUCAACAAUUUAUUUAAUUGAUUAUGAUGUUUUAAAAUUUAAAAUUAUAAUAUUGAAAAAAUUUUAGAACUCUCAAAAUGAGUAAAUAAGUACAAUUUGAUAAUCUUUUAAUGCAUUAUUUUAGUUUCUACCACUUUUUUACUUUAAUCCUUAAUUUUUUUUUAUCCCAAUCAAUGCUUAAAAAGUUAUAUUUUUUUGAGUGACCAAAUGAAAACGGCCUAGAAGUUUGGUGACCAAAAUGAAAGUGUAUAUAUGAUAUGACAUGUAUAGUAAACCGUUAGAGAUUUAACAGCUAGGUGACUAAAAUGAAAGCGUUCUAAAAGUUGAGCAACAAAAUUGUAAGAAUUUCUUUUUGAGUGACCAAAAUGAAAACAUCCUAAAAUUUGGGUGACCAACUAGAUAGCUUACCCAAAAAAAGCAACAUUUAACCUUGAUAACUUUUUUUAAUAGUAACAAUAAAUGUUAUGAAUUUGAAUAGAAAUAUUUUAAUCUUUUUAGAAAAAUUUUAAAUAAUUAUAAUUCAAAACAAUUUUUUUUAAAUUGCCGAACAUAAAUUAUGAAUUUUCAGAUUUUUAAUUUAAUUUUUUAGAAUUAUUGUUAAAUAAAUACUUAAAAGUACAAAAUUAAUAUUUUAGCUAUAAUUCAAUGACUAAAAUAGUAAUUAAUUAUUUGAGUUAAUAUGUCACAUCAUCGUUUUAUUAAAAGGUAACAGAAGAAUGAUGAAAAUAUAACAAGCGACUUACAUAACUUUUUAAAAAUUGAGUGACUAAACCAUAAUUUUAAAUAAAAUUUUGAGACUAUUGAUGUAAUUUAAACUUUAUUUUCCAAUAAUUAUUGUUGAAAGAAAAAAAAAUUACUACCCACAAUGAAUUUGAAGAAGAUGUUGAUAUUAACUUUUGGAUAUUUAUUGUCUAAAUUCGUUUUACUUUUACAGAUAAUGGAUUUAACUUCGGAUAAUAAAUAUAUGAAUUCACUGGAUAAUAAAUUCAGUUUAAAUAUUCAAAAUUAUUUUUUUUAAUUUUAUUUAAAAAAUAUUUUGAUAUUUACUAAAUGUUUAUAUUAAAAGGAUUUAAAUAUUCGAAAAACUUUUAAUUAAUUUGAAUUUGAAUUUGAAUUUGAAUAAUCAUUCUUAUAUUUAAUGGGUACAAAUAAGCCAAAAAAAUUGACCAAAUCUGCUAAAGAUUAAAUGUCCACCAAAUUAGGGGCUGAGCAUUCGAUCGAAUCGAAUCGAAUCGAAAAUUUUUGAGUUAAUCGAGUUUUCGAAUCUCAUUUUAUCAUCCUAACUUUAUUUGAAGUUUUCUCGAAUCGAGUCGAGUGAGAUAGAAUUCGAAUCGAAUCGAAUAUAUUUGUUCGAGUUAAAUUUUAAAAAAUAUCUUUGGGUCCUUGUAACCAUUGCCACCCAUCGUGUAAUAAAAUUUGUCCACCUUAAUCAAUUUUUUUAUUAACUUUCAUCACCUCAUAAAUUAUUUAUUAAUUUUUUAUAUACUGGUUAGCUUCUUUGCUUGCUUAAUUGUUUCAAUUAUCUUCAAAUUCUUGUCACUAUAUAUUUUGGAAUUAAAAAAUAUAUUAAAUGUAAAAAUAUGAUUUUUUAAUAAAAGUUAUUUUAAAAAUAAAAUGUAAAAUUGAUACCAAUAUAAAAUUUUAACACGAAUAUUUUUUGGCAUAAUUAAUAAUUCAAUUUUAAUAUAAAUAUUCAAUAUGACUAAACAAUUCAAUAAUAUAAAUAAUAUAAAAUGUGAAAUUUAAUUUAAUAAUAUAAAUAGUAGAUAUAAAUAAAAUUAUUACUAUUUAUGUUUAGUGAUUUUUUUGGAUAAUUUUUAUUUUUUAUUUGAGAGUAAAGGGUGAGAAGUAAAAGUUUAGGGGGAAAAUAAAAAAUUUUGGAAAUAAAAGUUUGAGGGAAGGUAAAUAGGGGAAGUAAAAUUUUGGAGGGAAAAUAUUAAAAAAAAAUUGGAGGGGGGAGGGUUUGGGGUAGAUGGGAGGUGGGAUGGGAAGGGAAUAAAAUUUUUAGGGGAAAAGUGGGAGGGAGUAAAACUUUUGGGAGAAAAUAAAAGGUUUUGAGGGUUUUUGGGAGUAAAAUUUUGAGAAAAAAUAAAUGGGAGAGUAAAAUUUUGGUGGGAAAUGAAUUUUGGGUAGAUUGGGGGGUUGGGAGGGGAGAGGAGUAAAAGUUUUAGGGGGAAGUAGGAAGGAGUAAAAGUUUUGAGGGAAAAGUAAAAAGGUUUAGGAGAUUGGGGUAAAAAUGUAAAAUAUUAUAGUUUGAUAUUCGAAUUCGAAAACUCAACUCGAUUCGAACUCGAAAUUCGAAAAAAAAAUUCGAGUUGAUUCGAAUAACUCGAUUCGUUUAACUCAAAAUUCGAAUUUUUUUUUAAUUUUUUCGAGUUGAAUCGAGUUUUGCUCACCCCUACACCAAAUCAUAAUAACUUUGUCUUCUUAUUUCACAUUGGUCUAAUUCUGAUUUUAGUCCUUCUACUAUGUUAAAAGUUGGGAUCUAAUCCCUCUAUUUUAGUUUAGCAUAAUUUGAUAGAUUACUUUUAUAAUGUCAUUAAUAGAUUCAAAUUAAUAACUAUAGUUAAUUACUUUCAUUAAAGUCAAUCAUACAUUCGAAGUCACGUGGAAAUCCAAUCAACCAUAUUCAAUCAAUAAUACGUUUACAAAUAAAUAAAAUCUUAAAAGUAGGUUUUCUUUUUUAAAUUCCACCUCAUCACAAAAACUAAAGGUAUUAUAAAAUUUGGACUACUAAUAAUAAUAAUAAGGCACAAUGCUUAAAUUAUGUUAAAUUAAAAAUAGAGGAAUUAAAUCUUAAAUUUCAGGCAUAGAAAAAGGAUUAAAACCAAAAUUAUACCUUUUGCAUUUCCCUAGAACAAAAGUUUAAACAAGGGAAUAUUUUAGUUGUGAGACAUUCCCCUUGCGUUUUCUUUUCUUUACUUUAUUUUUUUCUGAAAAUCAAAGAUCUUUUGGUCCCCUAUCACAAUUUUAUAAUGUAGGAUUUUUUUUUAUAUUUAAAUUACAUAAUUUUAAUAGAAUUAAUCAUUACCUAAUAAAAAGUUGGGUAAACUAUAUUUAAUAUUAAAUUAUUAGUAAGUUAAUGUUUUUAUCAUUUAACUAUAAAAAUUAUAAAAUAGUUAUUGAAUUAUUCGAAAAUUUUUAUUUAAGUUAUUGGACUGUUAAGUUUUUUUUUUAAAGUCUAGCUAGCAAACUCCAAUUAAGUUUUUGAAAGUUGAUACGGUGGAUCAAUACCCAUUAAUGAGUAAAAAAACAUACCUUAGGUCAAAGUCAAUCUGAUAACUAGUAUCAUAUAUUGGAAAAGAAAGUUGUUUGAAUUUUAAUUAGCAGAUUUAUGACGUUUAAAGCAAUUUCAUGAAAAAUACCAAAUGGUAGAAGAGGAGGGAAAGAAAAAUUUUCAAUUAGUGCAGACGGUACAAACGGAGAAGGCUAUACAAUAAUGAUUUUAACAAUUUAGAGACUUAAAUGAAAACUUUUAAAAAUUUUAGUAAAUAUUUUAUAACUUUUUAAAAUUAAUUGAAUAAAACGUAAAAAUUUACCCUAAAAAGUUUUGAAACUUUUAUGAAUUUCCCUUUGUUUGUAAUUAUUUGGUUAAGCACUUUUUGGCAUUAUAAUUAGGAGCUGUAUUAGACAAAAAGGAAAACAGUGUGGUGUAGUUAGAAAACAAAAAGCUACAAAUCUGUCAAAAUACAAAGGGACGGCCAUGGGCAUGUGCUCAUUGCCCCUUUCAAUGGGAAAGUUGUGAGUGUGAUGUGACUGUGAUGACCAUUUUUGAGCCUUAAUUAAAGGGUAACUUUUGUUGUAUUUUCUACUUUCAAUUAUUGGCCAUAGGUGGGGGAAUCAGAAGCUGAAUCAAUUAAUGGAGUUAUGGUCCAAUUUGUGAUUUUUUCUACGUUUAGUCCUUUUACUUUUGAUCUUUUGAAUGUAAUUUUUCUACCAUUUUGAUUUAAUAAUUGAAAUUUAACUGAUAAUAGUGUAGAAGGAAUUCUGUUAAAUUGGAUUAUGCAAGCAAUUCAAAGCCAGGUGAAAUCCAUGGAAGCAAAAAAUAUAUCAAAAUUCACUUUGGUUCUUUGAUGUGAAAGAAGAAUAUUUUAAUCUCAAAUUCUGAAUCAAAAACUUUAUAAUCUCGUAUUCAACCUUUUUUUAUUUACAUAUUUGGUAUUUUACGUGUGUAAUAUUGACUAUGUAACUAUUUAUUUUAUUCUAAAAUGCCUAAACUAGGCAUAAUACCUCAGUCCUUAGAGUGAAGGACAUUACGCACUUAAGUGGUCUGAACCUUCGUCUUUCAAUUUUUUGUAAUAGCAAUGGUGCCAGUCGAGAUAAAACUUAGUUGAUGGAUUGCAAUUAUUAAAUCAGAAGAGCAAAGUAACUAAAUUUCAAAUGUGUGAAAGGUAUAGGGACUGUGAGUAAAAUUAGACCACAAAAACAUAAAGAAAAUUAUAGGGUUAAUAUGUAGUUUACCCCUGAAUUUGUUCAAAAGUACCUAGAUAGUACUUGAAUUUUUUUUUGUACCUAGUUAAUACCUAAAUUUGUAUUCUGUCACACACAUUGCCCCAAUUUGUUAACAAGUUACUUUUUUAAGGGUUAACAUGUAGUUUGCCUCCUCUGAACUUGUCCAAAAGUACAUAAUUAAUACCUGGAUUUAUCCAAAAAGUACCUAGUUGGUACUUGAGCUUGUUCAAAAAAUUAUACUUUUUAAUUUAUUUUUUAUUUUUUAUUUUAUGUCUACCACGUGUCAUUAUAAGAUUGAGGUGCCAACCUCGGUGAUGGAAUAUAAGUUCAGGUAUCAACUAAUUAUAAAAAAAGAGAUACCAAUUAGAUACUUUUAGACAAAUUUAAGGACAAAUUACAUAUUAACCCAAAAUUAUUGUAGUGGCGUGGAGUUGAUGAUUUCAAACGAAAUAUUAGCAUGAGGUGUUGGAAAAAGGGUUCUUUCAAUCUCAUUUCAAAUCACAAAUUAACAUUUUAGGCAGUAAAAACAUAUUUUUGUUCCUUUUUAAUUUUGAUUUUGUGUGAAUUGGUAUCUUUUAUAAAAAAUCAGAAUAAUAUAAUUUUUAUCAAUUUUGGUAGUGAACAAUUAAUCAUAACAUUUAUGUUCUUCGUCAAUUGUAUAUAAUUUGUGUUGAUAUGAUAACAAAUGUAGCUCUCAAUGUUUAUAUAUUCUAUGUAAAUGUUGACGGAAUGUAUAAAUAUUGUGUGCUAAUUAAUAGGAUUUGUAAACUUAUCACUAUACUAAUAAAAAAUAUUUACAAUUAACGAAAAACACUAACGAUGUGAUUAAUUUCCUUAAUUGCUGAAUUUUAAAUUUGACAGAGAUUAAAUUAUGCUAAUUUUUAAAGUGACAAAUUUCUGAAUAUCAAAAUUGAAAAGGACUACAGAAGUGUUUUUACCUUUCUAGCUUGAGUAAAAAGGUUUUCAAAUUCAAAAGCAUUAAUUAAACCUUUACACGUGCAACUAGGGUAAAAGUAUCAUAGAUGCCUCCUCUACUUACAAAAUAGGUAAAUUAACACUGUACAUUAGAUCAAAGAGUAAAUUGGUAUUUUCUGUUAAAAAUUUCAUCCAUUUGUACCCUUAAAAACUGGCAUGGUUAACAUAAUAAUUAGAAAGUGACACAUGGACCAAUUUUUAACAGUAAAAAUAAAUAUAAUUUUUAACAGAAGAGCCAAUUUGCUCUUUAGUCUAAUAUAUAUUAUUUCAUCUAUUUUUUAAGUAAAAGGAGUAAAAAGCAAUUGAACUCCUAAUUUAGGAGCCUCUAUGGUAAUUUUUCCCAGCAACCAGCCAAAAGAAGAGGUGGGAAAAUGAAGAUUCAAUUACAUUUAUGAUGGGCAAUUGGGCACCAAAAGUAGUAUCAGUAUACAAAAACUAAAUAUACACAUACAUACAUACAUUGCAGGAAUCUUGUGAAUGCAUUUAAACUGUUCAAAUUUCAGCUUUUGAUCAUUUUUACCUACUUUACUGCAAAAACCCAGACAGAAAAUUUUUUUAAAACUCUUUAUCAAUUAAAAGUUCAUUUAAUUCAUAAUUUGAUAGUGAAAGGUGAUUUAGACAUGAAUCUGCAAGCGGUUGUUCAUAAUGCCUUUUUUUUCUUACCUUUGUUCUUCCUUUUUUUCCCUUUACCAUCAACACCAUACUCAUGAUUUCCACUAAAAGCUUAAACCUUAAUGCAAAAAUGUACUAAUAAUGGUAAAAAAUUAAACAAUUUUGGUAAAUGAUGUAAAUUAGAAAAAAUUCAAAGCUUUAAUUCCUUCAUUUGGUAACUGUUUUAAAUAAAGUUUAAAGCUUUUGCAUGCUCUAAAUUUGCUCACUUUUUUAAAAAGGUCCAAAAUUUUCAUUAUCCCCAAUAAACAUUUUUUUGGCUUUGGAUCUGAAGCUCUGCUAGUUCAUUUGCAACAGGUAAGCACCAUAAAUUCUUGGGUUUUUUAUGCUUUUCAUUUUUACAUCCAUUUUCUCAUUAGGGUCUUCUUCUUUUUGCUGUUUUUUGGGUAAUUUUGUGGCCAUUAUUGGUUCUUGUUCAAUUAAGUACUGAAAAUUGUGGCCAUUAUUGGUUCUUGUUCAAUUAAGUACUGAAAAUACUUUUUUUUUCUCCAUUUUUUUUUUGUUAAUGGCAAUGCUUUUUGUUUAUUAGCGCAGCAGACAAGAACUGAUUAAUGUUUUUUUGUUUUUUUUGCGUUUAUGUUGUUUUCUUCACUGAAACAGAGUUUGGUUUUGUUGGUUUUUAGAUGAUCAUGUCUUUGAUUAGAACAUUGAAGAGCAUGUAAGCAAGUGGAUUUGGUGUUUUUUUUGUGUAUAUUUGUAAGUAUCUGAGUUUAUGAAUAUAUUUGUUUUUUUGGUUUACAGAAUAUGCCUCAAGAGAGUUUAAGAUCAAUUGUUUAUAGAUCAUUUGUUACAUGUGAUGAUCCAAAAGGAGUUGUAGAGUGUAGAACAAUUAGAAGGUCGAAAACCGGUUCGACCGACACGAUGGUGCGUGAUAAAACCGACGAAUGCCGGCAAAAAACAAAGAACCGAUCGACAAAGGGGACUUCUUGUCAACUCUUGGAGGUUUCAAGGAGAGCUCACAAGCUAAAUAAUGUGAUCGAUUCAUGUUCGAAACAGCUUUGGUAUGAUACGAAUUCGAGAGAUGUAGCGAAAGAUUUGUUGAAAGGAGCACUUGAUUUGCAAGAUUCAUUGCAUGUGCUUGGGAAAUUGCAAGAAGCUUCUCAUUAUAUGGCAAAAUGGGAUAGGGUGAGAAACGAGCCGAAUUCGAGUCUGGUUAGAGAAUGGGAUUAUCGAACUGAAAACCAAAAUCCGAGGCUUUCCGUUGAUGGUUCUUCGAGAGAUUGUGUUGAGGAGCAUAGGAAAGUGAUUACGUAUAGUCUAGCUAAGCAAAAUCUAUUGCCAAAUGUUGAAGAAAUGAGAUGCUUAAGUGGAAGAUAUCAGGGUAUCCCGUCUACAAGCUUGAGUCAAUCAUCAACCGUCCGUGCUGAAAAAGGCCCAAGUUUGAUUGCGAAGCUUAUGGGACUAGAAGAAAUGCCUUCGAGACCAUUGCAGACAAAUUCGUGCAAGGAAGUAGAGUGUAACAAGAUUUUGGAUAGACAAAAGCAUAUGUUUGAAAUCAAUAAGCCAAAAGUGAGGAAGUCUCGAUUUGUUUUCCGGAAGGAAGAUCGAGAUAGGCGAACAAUGGACAUUCACGAGGCCAUGCAUUUUAAAGGACUAUUGAAAAGCAACUUCAUCAAAGAGAUCAAGUAUGAUUCCCAUCAAUGGAGUGAUUUCUUUUCGGAACAGAAGUUGAUCAACGAUAGUCCACCAAUCGUACUUAUAAAACCUCGAUACAGUCCACACUUGCAAACAGAAGAAAAGUUCGUGCCGUGGUUCCACGAGGGUUGUAGCUUAAACACUGAUACUAUGCUCAGAAAAGUGCAGCCUCCUUCCAUUAGCUCGAGGGAAGGUGCUAAAGAAAGAAAAGAGAAAGAGGCCAAACCAGUGAAAAGCGACGUAAAAGCUAAAGAGAAGCUUUCUAUGAAGACAAAAACUUCAGGGCCCAUAACCGUGCCAUUGCUGAAAAAAGAGGCUACUCACAGGAAAACCAAAAAGAUAACGAAACCAGUUAACGAGGAGGUUGCAAGGGCAAAGAAUUUAUUGAGGUCUAAAGAUGAAGCUAAGGUUACCCCUCCAAAGUCCGGUAAGCUCGAAAAUGGAUCAAAUGUUACAAAUAAUAAAAUGUCUCAUCAACGCGGAUCACAAACUGUAGUCCGUGCUCCAAAUGAUCGGAAAAAGGGAGUGAACAAGAUGAAAACGGCUAAAAUAACUGUGAGUUCUUUAUAAGUUUACUUUCUGUAGUUAUAAUUCUUUUGUUAAACGGCAUAGCAACAUAUGGGACUUGAAAUGCCUAUGCUACAUUCAUUAAGCUAUGAAAACCCGAAAUGAAGAUUGAAAACUAAAUGCAGUUUAUCUUUUAUGCAGAAUGAGAGAUUAGAACACAAAGGAGAUGGUAUUGUUUCGGAAGGAAAGAAGAUUGAUCCUAUAUCGGAAAGCGAUACAGUUUUCGAAAGAUAUAGCAUUGAAACUGAUAUUAUGAUUGAAGGUAACAAUGGAGGAUAGAAAUUUUAGUAUAGUAAAUUGAUGUAUGCGACAUUAGUCAACUGCUGUGUGCCUGUAUUAGAUUCGUAAAUGUAUACAAAAUGCAUUUUCCGAUGUAGAUGCAUGUAAUAUGUUGAGAGUUUCUAAUUUUUAUUCGAUACUUGGGACAAACUCGAGAACAUGACGUACAUUUAGAUGAUAUAUGUUUAGAUAUUAAACUGGGUAAAAAUAUCAUGAUGAACUUUAUACUAGGAGUCAAAUUACAUUUUGUCUCUUCUACUAAAAAAAUGAACAAAUUAGUUCAUGUGUGUUAGAUCAAAGAGCAAACUAGUCAUUUUAUUAAAAAUUUCAUCUAUUUGUCUUGCUAAAAAUUGGUUUGUGCAUGUCAACAUGAUUUUAGCCAUACCCGUUUUUAAGAAUAGAAUAGAUGAAAUUUUAAACAGAAAUGACCAGUAAUGUAUAGGGAUUAAUUUGCUCAUUUUUUGAGUAAAGGAUGGUAAAAUAUAAUCUGACUCUUAGUAUAGGGACCUCCAUGAUAUUUUUACCGAUUGAACUGUGCGUAGAAUGUUGAUACUUACCUAACAAAUUCUUUGUUUCCUUUUCUCAGAAUGUCGUGAUAACAGCGAGGAUUCUGUUUGUGACAUUACCCUGGUGACUACCGAUUAUCAAAACAACCGAAAAUGUAUCGGUCCAAAUGAAACUGACAACGAAAGCUUCACUAGAGGGGCCAAACUAAAAGCACUGCUAUUGAGCUGUCCGGCUUUCCUCAAUCACGCCGACUAUCUUUUUUAUCUUCAUGUGAAUCUUCCUACAACUUCACCAAAAUUUGACAUCAACGAAUUCACAGAUGCCAACAGAAGACUUUUCUUAGACUGCGCAAAUGAAAUUGUUCGAAGAAUAAGCUUUCCCGAUUCUCAACCGGUUCACCCUCCGUUAUUAUCCGUGGUCGGAAAUGCCAAAACUCGUAUCUCUCUAGACCAUUUGUUAAGGGAAACUUGUGAUCAGGUCGAGGCAUUGAGAAACUAUAGUGAAGUAGCUGGUGAAGACUAUCCUGCUGGUAGUCUUUAUUCAAUGCUUGAAAGAGACUUAAAGCACAAGGAAGCUUUAAGUGGAAUAUGGGACUUGGGUUGGAAGAAAGGGUUUACUGUGAAUGACACGAUACAAGUAGUGGAUGAAAUAGAGAAGCAAUUAUUGAAUGGGUUAAUCGAGGAGAUUUAUGCCUCAGUUUCAGCAGAAACCGAGAUAACACGGGUUUAAACUUUAAAAAUAACAUUGUUCGGAAGGUCUGUUACAAACUUCGAACAUGGACGCGAGCGAUACAACAAUUGUAAAUAAAGUUGCUUUAGUUGAUAAUUGUAAAUUUGUUUAGGGUAAAUUAUACUUGUAGUCACUCACUUAUUGGUAAGUUUCUUUUCUAGUCAUUUAAUUAUAAAAAGUUACAAAAUGGUCACCCAACUAUUCGGAUUUUCAACUAUUCAGAUUUUUCUUUUUUGAUCAUCAAUCGUUAAAUGACUGAUGGAAAAGUGACAUGGUAGCUUUUGAAAUUAGCAUAAUAGCAAUUUUAAUUCUCAACAUUUAUACAUUGUGUUAAUAUAGUAUUGAUUCUAAAAAUUUAGCUCUUGAACAUAUACACACUGUGUAAUUUUUUUUUAAUUUGCUUUUUAUAAGUUUUUCACAUAAAAAGUUAAAAAAAAAUCCAUCAACUAAAUUUGAUUUGGAGACAAGAAUAUACCAAAAAUGAAAGAUUAUUUUUAUCUUUUCUCAUUCUUUUAAAACUAACUCUCAAUCUCAAAAAUAAAAGUAAAAGUACAAAAACAAAAUGUCAAAUUACACAAAGUCUAAAUAUUAAGGGUUAAAGUUGCUAUUAUGCUAAUUUUAAAAACUGUCUAAUUAUCUUGCCAUUAGUAAUAUAACAAUUAUGCAUGAAAAGAUUAGAUAUCACAUACGAUAAUCACGCAUAAUAAAACUCGAGCUUUUUAAAUGUGUGGCAUUUAGAUUAUAAUUUCAAUUUUAUGUUUUUGUUGGUACCAAAUUUUUCUUUUUUGAAAAUUUGUUAGUAUCAAACUUGAAUUGCAUGCAAUUCUAAAUUUUAUGUGUAUAUAUUAAGUAUUUGAUUAAGUUUAUGUCACGAGUUAAUCGAGUAAUUUAAUUAGAUGAUAACGAAAUUAAACAUUAGAUUAUGACAUAUUUACUAUGUUUAUAUUUUUUAACUACGUUGUAAAUAUGUCAUAAUCUAAUAUUAACCAAAAAUUUUGUUGAUAAAUUUACUCAUGAUUUAAAUCAAAGCUACUGAAAAAAAAAUCAAACCCAUUAGGAAAAAAACAAAAACAAAGAGUAUUUCCAUUUUCAUUUUAUGCGGGUAAAUAAUAUAAUAUCAAUUAUUUAUAUUAUAUUUUUCUGGAAUAUAAAGAUCACACGCUAUUGAAAAAUAUAGGGUAAACUACACUAAAAAUCAUUAAACGAUUUGCAGGUUUAUAUUUUGGUCACUUAAUUUUAAAAAGUUAUAAAAUGGAUCAUUGAAUUAUCCAAAAGUUUUUAUUUAAGUCACCAAGCUUUAAGUUUUUUUUUUCUAAAGUCUUGCUAGCAAGCUCCAAGUGACAAUUCAGCAAUUGUUAUGGUAGAUCAAUACUCAUUAACAAAUAGAAUAACAUACAUUAGAUCUAAGUUGAUUUGACGAACAGUGUCAGAAAUCAAAUAAGAAAGCUAUUUAGAUUUUAGUUUGCAUAUUCUCGACGAUGUUCAAAGUUGUUUCACGAAAUAAAACUGAACUGUAAAAGAAUAGGAGAAAAAAAGCUUCCGAUUAGUGUAAGCGAUGCAAAUGGAGAAUGUUGUAAAGUAAAAAUUUUAACAACCUAGUGACUUAAAUGAAAACUUUCGAAUAAUUUAGUAACCAUUUUGUAACUUUUGAAGUUGAGUGAUCAAAACGUAAACUUACUAAUGGUUUAAUAAGCUUAACUCUAAUUUACUAAAAAAUACAAAAUGAUGCUAAGCAAAGCUUAUCAGUUAAGUCUUUAAUCCAUUUUAAGCUUUGAAUAACCAGAGCCACAAGUCCGACCCAUCCCUUAAUAUUUUAUAUAAUUAAAUUAAAAAUUUAAAUGAUAAAAAAAGGUUAUUUUCACCAAAUAACUUUAAACUAUGAUUCAAAUUUUAAAUUGGUCCUAAAUUUUAAAUAUUUUAAUUGAACCAUCAAAACGUCAAGAUUAUAAUAAUUUGAUUCUUUUAUUAACUUAACUAUUAGUUUGAGCGUAAAAUGUGAGCUCAUAUACAUUAUGGGUAUAUAAAAUACGGAUUAAAUUAUAAACGUAUAAUGAUAAAUUUAAUUCUUAAUAUUUAAUUUAUUUUAAUCUUUAAAAAAAAUAAUUUUGGCUCUUAACCUUUAAUUUUAUUCAAAUUAUUUUGUUUUGAAUAGAAAAUUUAAUUGAAUUAUUAAAAUUUUAAUGGCAUUAAUGUGAUAAUCAACAUACUAAUCUAAUACAUAUGAACUCUCUCUUUUUUCUGAAAUUUUAUUUUUUAUUUUUAUGAAAUACAUGUUUACAAGCUACAACCAUGCAAGUUGUCACCUUAAUUCGUUAAAAUUUUAACAUUAAUUUAAAAAAAAGAGUAAAUUGACUCCAUUUUAAAGAUUAACGAAUAAAAUUAUCUAAGAAAGAAUUAAUAUACAAAAAUGAUAAAUAUUAGAGAUUAAAUUUAUUAUUUUAUCCAUUAUAAACCCAUAUUUAUAUUGUAUAGAUAAUCUGGAUUUGAUGUAAUAAAAUUAUAAUAUCUUUCUAAAUUUUAUUAAAUGUUUAAAGUGACAUGUCUGAUUGAUAUAACUUUGAGAUUCAAUUGGAAUAUGUUGAAGUUUAGAGACUAAUUUAAAAUAUUUGAAAUAAAUUAAGGACUUUUGGUGAAAUUAACGCAGAAACAAAUUUACAAAAGUCAGCCUAACUGUCAAAUUGACGAAGCAGCAUAUUCAAAAGAGUCGUCUCUAAUCUCAAAAGAUAAUAUUUGAAAAUUUUUGGUUAUCUUUUAGAAAAUUCCUUUCUUGUUUCUUCUUCCUUUGACCGGUAAACGGUGAGUUGAGAGACACGGCCGAAGCGAGUUUUUUGGGAUCCUUGGAUAAGGAUAUUGGUAGCCGCGUUUUUUCUGGUGAUGGGAGAUGAUAAAUCGGCGGCGAUGACGGCGAGUAGAGAUCGUGAGCUUCUAAUUCCGGUGGCUGAAUCCGUACACGAUGAUUCCUCCAAAGCUUCUUCUUCUUCGUCUUCUGCUUCUUCGCAUCAUGCCGGGCGUGAGGUAUUUUUCUUUCAUUUCCUUUUUUCUCGAUUUUUUGUUGUUAAUUGGAGUCACCGUUGUGAUUCAAUUCGAUUUGACUUGGUUUGCAGCUUUUUUUGGUUAGUGGUUGUAAGAUUUGAUUUGAAUUUUAUAAAUUAAUAAUACUCGUGCAAUAGAGCUUAAUGCGAUUCAAUAGUGGAAAAAUUAGAUGUUUCAAAUUCAUAUUUGAGCUGGAAACUAUUGAUAUUAGAAGAGGUAUGGAAAUUUGAACUGUUUUACUUGUGUUUUGACUUGGUAUUUUGAUGUAGGAAGUUGCAUAAUAUACUGGAGCUAUUAAAAUAUGAGGAAAUGGUUUUUCCUUUGUUUUGUUGUUAAUUGGAGUUACCUUUGUGAUUUAAUUCAAUUUGACUUGGUUUGCAGCUGUUUUUGGUUAUUAGUUGUAAGAUUUGAUUUGAAUUUUAUAAAUUAAUACUCAUGGAAUAGAGCUUAAUGCGAUUUAAUAUAGAGAAAUUAGAUGGUUCAAAUUCCUAUUUAAGCUGGAAAUUAUUGAUAUUACUAGAGGUAUGGAAAUUGGAACUGUUUUAAUUGUGUUUGACUUGGUAUUUUGAUGUAGGAAGUUGCAUAAAUAUACUGGAGCUAUUAAAAAUUGAGGAAAUGGUUUUCCCUUUUGUUUUCUUGUAAAAUUGUUAUCAGAAGAUAAGACCAUUUAGGAUAUAUAUAACUGAGCUGAUGGUUGAUAGAAUUUCAUACAAAAUUUGUAACAAGUGGUUGCUUUUUCCGUUUUAGAGGCUUUCAAUGUAUCUGUGAUUUAUUUUUGAUAGCUUACAAUGCUGUGUAAAGAAUGUUAAGGCCCAUGACAGCAGGUAUAUGAUUCUUUUCAUAAAUUCCCUCGAACAAAUUUAGGGUAUAGAAAUAUAGGCUUGAAUUUGAUGUCUCCCCUCCGCUUAUGAGACACGAUGACAUUAUUUCUUUCUGGUUUGUGGAGUGGGAUAUUGAUGAUCUUUCAAAAGAAUGGUUUUAUUAUGUUGCCUGUAUAGUAAUUCUAUGCUUAUGUUUGUCUGUGUUUUCUUGUAUCGAGCACACUUUUGUUUUUUACUCUAAAAAUUUGCCUUACAAGCUUUGUUUUAUGCAGACCUUUUACAAAAUUGUCCAGAGCUGGGCUUCAAAGAAGUUCAUGACAGGAUGGUAACUGGCAUUCUUUCAUCUCCUUUCUUUAGCUUUAUGGACUCAUAUGAUGGAUGUUUCUACAAUGGUCAUCUGUAUGAAAAUGAUUUGGAUGGUGCUAUUACCAUCUUCUUACAAAGGAAAAAAGGGAUCAACACGAGCCUCCAAUUCAACUUCUUUGUUUCAUAUCCUUGAUAAUUAGUGAAAAUACUUUCACUAAUGUAUCAUAUGUAUAUCUUUGUAUAUUUUACCUCUAAUUUUGAGUACUGUAAAUUUUAGAACUUUGGAGCUAUGAAUUCUUGAAAUGAGAGAUAAUUCUAAAUACCUUGAAAUUUUUCACAAUUAUUCAGCUAUUUUCUAGGCAAAGUGCUUGGUGGAAAAUAAGUAUUUCACUAGAAUGGUUGGGAUGCAUUCACUCACCAUAUAAUUAUAAUGAGUAUCCUCAUUUACAAUGAAUUCUUUGGGAGAGUUACGGUGGAAGCUUGAUAUGAAAUUUGAAAUUGAGAUAACAUGUUUGAUCAUUGACCAGCCUGGCAUGUUCUUUUAAUUUUUUUUCUUGUUUCCACUUUUCUCUUGUCACAAUCUUCUCAUGAAAUGGAUGCUUGUCUUGAGAUUCCCUACUUCUCUAUCAUCUUACAAAAUGUUUGUUCUUUCCACUAUGAAUUUGUGCUAACUUUUAUUUGAUGAACUCCAAAACUUAGUAGCUUUGGUUUCUAGUUCCAAGAAAAUGUCUAUGGAGUUUCUAUUGUCAUUCAUGAAACUGUUAUAGCAGCUACUGAACCAUUUUUUAUUUUGCAGCGUCAUUUUGUUUCCUAUAGCAAUCACUUUCUACAUAACAUGGUGGUUUAUUCACUUUGUGGAUGGCUUUUUCUCUCCAAUUUAUGCGCAACUCGGAAUUGAUAUAUUUGGUGAGCAUCUCAUGCAGUUAGCACCUAAAAAGCUUUUCUUUUUUGAACUUCCUGCAAGUGCAGUGAACUUUUUUCAUAAUUGUCGAGGGUAAAAGUACCAUGGAGGCCCCUGUACUAGGAGUUAGAUUGCAUUUUGCUCCAUUUACUCAAAAAAUGAGCAAAUUAGUCCCUAUAUGUUAGAUCAAAGAGCAAACUGGUCCUUUUUGUUAAAAAUUUCAUCCAUUUAUACUGUUAAAAACUAGUGUGGCUGAUGGAAUAACCAAACAGUUACACUUGGCAUGCUAUGUGUAUCUCAUGCUGACAUACAGGGACCAGUUUUUAACGGUAAAAGUUGCUGGAAUUUUUAACAGAAGAAUUGGUUUGCUCUUUAACCUAAUGUACAGAGACUAAUUUGCCCAUCUUUAGUUGAGGGGGCAAAAUGCAGUUUGAAUCCUAGUACAAGGGCCUCCGUGGUACUUUUACCAAUUGUUGAGUCUUUUAUUCUUCCCCCCUUCAAUCAGAUCAUGGAGUUCGUAAACAUGUUUUCUUUCUCUAAGGCUAUGUCCUCCUUUUAUUUCCUGGAUAGGUCUCGGCUUUGUAACUUCUAUUACAUUCAUCUUCUUGGUUGGCGUAUUCAUGUCAUCUUGGUUGGGAGCAUCUGUCCUGGGCCUUGGUGAGUGGUUUAUCAAGCGGAUGCCAUUUGUUCGUCACAUCUACAAUGCAUCCAAGCAGAUCAGUUCUGCUAUAUCACCAGGUAUGCGCUAUGCUGGUUUUCUUCCACAUGAAGUAAAUUAGUUUAGCUGGUCAUGUUAUUCUAAUUGAUCCAUGUAGUGACAAUCCAUAUGCUACAUCAGUCUUUUCAUUCACUUCUUUUACUAUUUCAGAUCAGAACACACAAGCCUUCAAGGAAGUAGCCAUUAUAAGGCACCCACGUAUCGGUGAAUAUGCAUUUGCCUUCAUCACUUCAUCUGUUACUCUGCAGGUAAGCAAAUAAAGUUUUCUUCCUAAAUUAUCAUUUUGGCUUGCCCUGUUUUUUUCUUCUUUUUCUCUUGAGAUGGUAACAGGGUGGAGCGGAUUUUUGCCCGCCCUGACCUGACCUUGACCCGAAGCUUGAUCAAUUCAACUUGAAUCCAACCCAAUCCUGAUUCUUAGGAAAAAAAAUCUGCCUCGAAUUUGAAAUUUAAUAGGAGACCCGACUCCCGAGUCCAACUGACUUGAAUUUUAUUUUAUAGUUUUAUUUUUAUUCUGAAGCAAAUAAAAAUAUUACAUUUUUAAUUGUUUUAUUUUUUAAUUUUGAAGCAAAUAAGAUUUAUUUAUUUUUAGUUUAAACUUAAUAUUUAUUUAUUUAUUAAAAGCAAAAACUUAAUAUAUAUUAGGAGAAUUUUUGUAAAUAUCUCAGGACAGGACGUGGCGUGUUUACCUCAAACCCAACCUGACUAAUUUUCUAUUUUCACCCGACCUGACCCACUCAAACCUGAUUUUCCAAAAAAACUCUAACCCUAACAUGUUGGUUCAAGUUGGAACCCGUCGGAUUCGGGUUUUUUUUGCCAUCCCUAAUUUUUCUGGCAUGCAUGUUUGCAUGUUCAUUGAGACUGCUUGUUGCCCAGCUCGCUUCUACAGCAUUGUUGUUCCAAAAGACUGCUUGUUGCUCAGUGUCUGAACUUCUAAAUUUGGUUGCUAGCGUUUUAAAUAUUGAGUAUUCCAGUAGGGUUUAAGACAAAUCAGGUAACGUGAAAUCAAGGAUGCCGAUUUAUUCUUUUUCUUUUUAAAUGCAGAGUGACGCUGGUGAAGAAGAGCUAUGCUGUGUGUUUGUUCCCACGAAUCAUCUUUACCUUGGUGAUAUAUUCCUCAUCAACACCAAGGAUGUUAUCAGACUGAAUCUGUCAGUCCGUGAAGGAAUUGGUGAGGCAUUCAACUUCUUUUGUUGUCAUUAUUACAAAUGCAAGGAAAAAAAGGAAGGGGCCGGGUGGGGUAGGAAUGGGAGGAGUUACUGCAUAGACCUCCUAACUCGGGGUGUAAAUGAGACACCGUGCUCGUAAGCUAUUCAAGUUCGACUUGAAAAAAACUCUAAUUUGAUUUGAUCAUUCUUGAGCCAAGUUCUAAUAUUAUGAUACUAAAUUACUACUUUACCCAAAAAUUUUGUAUAUGGAAGGAGAUCAAACUCGAGUUUGAAUAUAUAAAUCAUGUACACGAGCUUAAUUGAGCCAAGCUCUAAUAGCUUGAUUUUGUUUCGAGCCGAGCUUGAGCUUAAAUAAUAGUAUUUAAUUGAGCUCGAGCUGAGCUUCGAGCAGUGAGUUUUGAAUCAAGCUCGAACUCCUCACUGUUCGAGCUUGGCUCCACCCCUCCUACUCCAAGCUCUUCCUAUUGCUAGGGGGUAAUAGAGAGCCUUGUCAAUUGCAAUGAUGAAUGGCAUAUACGUUGAAAUUUCCACUCCACACGAGGAUGGCCACUCUAUCAUGCAGUGGUUCAUGGAUUAUUUUUAUAAAAAGCAAUAUAUAUAUACACACACGCUACUGUUUGUUUCUAGUUUAAACUUAUAUCUCGCUCUUUCUUCCAUUGCAGAAAUUGUUAUAUCUGGGGGAAUGUCAAUGCCUCAGAUCCUAUCAACACUAGAUACUCAGUUGGAAAGAAGCAGACCUGAGAGAAGCUGAGAUAUAAGGUAACAGUUGUAGAGUUGUCGUUGUUUAUUUGAUUCACUUUUUUAGUUUUGGACUUCAGUCAUCGGACCGACCAUGCAAUCAAUAUGUCUCAAUAAUGCAGGAUUCGGAAUUAGAUUAUAAAAAUUUGUGAUGGUAGUGUCUGGUUCUGGUGGCAUCUGUAAUUUAGCUUGCUUGCAUAGAAAUGUAAAAACCCUUUGCUUUCAAAGUGUAAGAUUUGUUGAUAAUUGCGGGGUUCAUCUUUCCCCCCAAAUGUUGUUACUUGAGCAUAGAAUGUAAAAACUGUUUGUUUUUUCAAGUGUAGAUUUGGAGCCCUGGUUUACGUAGGGUUGAGUUUGGAUUUUUCAAAUUGUCCGUGAUAAUUUGAUUCAUUUUUAUUAAUUUAAUUUUGAGUUUUGGAUUUUUGGAUUUUAUUUUGAUAAAAUGGAUUUGUUUUAUGAUUUUCGGAUGGUAUUUAAUAAUUUUUCAAGAUUUUUUCAUAAAUAAUUAUUUUUUAAGUAGAUAAAAAAAUUUGAAAACUUUUAUUUAACGUCAUAAAAAAUUAAAAUUAAUAUACAUUAAAUAAAUUAUAAUUUUGUUCGGUUUAGGAAACUACAAUUUUUCAACUUAUGAAUCAAAAUCACCCAAAUGCUUGUUCAAAUGGGUUUUUUUGUCAGCCCUAAGUCCAAGUUUGGAUAAAAUGAUUUUAACCUUUUGUUGAUCCGAUUAAAUCUGAAUUUAAAUUAUAAGUACAAACCUUAAAAUUAUACAUAAAUUUUGAUACAUAAAUUUUAGGGAUAAAUCCCAAAAAUUAUAUACGAACUAUGGUUUAAUGUACAAUUGUAUGUAUGAACUUUGAUUUUAUGUAAUUUUAUACAUGAAAUUUUAAUUUGAUCCAAUUCUUAUAAAUUAUUAAAAAAAUUAUUGAUACAACAUCAUUUUAUGUUUAUAUAUUGCAUACUUAAAUAAUUAUAUUUAUCUAAUAUAAAAAUAAAUUGAUGGAUUUAUUUAUUUAAAUAUGUAUGAUUAAGUCAAAUUUAAAAUUUCAAAUAUACAUUUGAACUACAAUUAUAGUUUCACGUAUAUAAUUGCACCAAAUUAAAGUUCAUAUAUAUAAUCGCAAAUUAAAUCAAAAUUCAUGUAUAAUUUUAAGAUUUAUCCCUAAAUUUUAAUUUGAUACGGUUAUACAUGAGAAACUUUAUUAGUUCAAAUGUAUACAUGAAAUUUUGAUUUUGAUUCAUUUAUACACAUUUAAAGAAAUAAAUAAACUAAUUUACUUGUAUUUUGCAUGUAAUAUGUAAACAUAAAAUGAUGGUAUAUUGAUAAUUGUGUUAAGCUAUAUAAUUGUGUUAAUAAUUUAUGAGAAUUGAAUCAAAUCAAAGUUUCAUGUAAUAUAACACAAAAUCAAAGUUUAUAUAUAAAAAUUACACAUUAAAUCAGAGUUCAUGUGUAAUUUUUAUAUUUAUCUAUAAAUUAAAUGAUAAAAAUAUAAUGUUUAAAUUUAAUUAUAUAAAUAUUAGUAUAAAAUUUUAAAAUAUUUUAUAAUACAAAUAAUAAAAAUAAAACCAGGAUAAAUUCGAUCUUAAAAAUAACCUUUUCUUUCGCCUAGCCCAUUUGCCUAGUGUUUUCUUUCUUGGGUUAAGGCCCAUUGCAAAGAAUGUCGAAAGUGGGCGCAUUAAGUGAAAAUCCCAGUAAACCCCAAUACCUUUUCUCAUGGUCAUGGAUCCCAAUAUCCCCGCAAAAACCCUAGUAGUUUACAUUCAAGUAUUCCCCUAUAUAAACCAUGGACACAAGGUGAGUUCAUCGACCGUGAUUCUGAGCUCCUCUCUUCUUUUAGGGUUUAUGUUCUCACCGUAUAUCCUACAUCUGUUUCUCCGAUCUUCAUUCCUCUGCUUUGUAAUUCGUUUAAUUUUGUCCCUUUUUUUUUGUAAAUCUGUAAUUUGAUCUGCGCUCUUCUUUUAUAGUUUAUGUUCUCAUCAUAUAAUCUAGAUCCGUUUCCUCUACUUUGGAAUUUGUUUAAUUUUGCCUUUUUUCCCCGGGAAACUGUGAUUUUAAUUGAGUACUUCUAGGGAUUAUGUUCUCAUCAUAUAUCCUAUAUCGGCUUCCUCCGCUUUGAAAUUUGUUUUAUUUUGCCUCUUUUUUUGAAAAUCAAAUAUUUAUGCUGCGAAAAAGGGACGGUGACGAUUUCAACAGUGAAAGGUCUCGUUCGUCGUAAUCGGCUGUUCUUCCAACAGCCGUUGCCGACCAUCCUGUUAUAUCACCACCCAUAUUCCGAGUCCCCUUUUCUUUCCUUCAUUAUAUACUUUUUCAAUUUAUAUUAAUUUUUCAUACUAAUAAUUUUCUAUGAAAAUCGGCCGAUGAUUAAAUAUUUUAUGAAUGACAAGCAUAUGUCUGAAUUAUUUCAUGUUGAAAUGCCUAAUCUUCUCUAUGAGGCCGAUUAUCCCUUUCCCAUCACUUUUUAAAAGAUAUUUAUUUAUAUUUAAUUUUCAUCGAUAAUUUAAAUAAAACAAAGGUUUCUCUAGAUGAUUAUGUAAUUACCUUUUCAGCUGAUAAUCUACAUGAUUAUUUUCUCAUCUUUUUGCUUCUCAUUGCUCUAUAGAAGUUUCAUGCAUGAUGAUAUUAAGGCUAUAAAUGUUUAAAUUAAUUAACAAACAUUAAGAUCGAAAUUAUGGAAUCAUCUUUGAGAUGAUUUUAUUUGAAUCCUAUGUGGAUUAGAACUUUUUCUAAUAUUACGUAUUAAAUAAAAAUAACUAUUAUAUAAAAAAAAUAAGAAUUUAAUAUUUAAAAAUAACUUAAAAGUUUAAGUUCAACAAACAAUUUUUAAGAAUUUAAUGCUUAUUUGAUUCUUUUUCUUUUUACAAACAUUGAUUUGAAUAUGUUAAAAAAUUAACUUUUUUUUUUUUGACUCUUCGAUUAAAAAAAUAAAAUAAAAUUGUAAAAAGAUUAAAUUAUAUGAUGUGUAACUAGGGUUAAUUCUUUUUAAAUAAUAUUAAUUUAAUAUUAUAAGUAAAUAUUAGGAUUAAAGUUGAUAUGAUGUCUUGCCCUUGGGUCAGAUCCAAGUUUGAAACAAGCAGUUGUUGCAUAUCAUUGAAUAAUCACACGGUCAAAUAUUUUAUUUCUUGGAUUUUGAAUAGAUUAAGAUAUUACAAUUCAGUUUAAAAUGUCAAAUAUACUCAUUUGAUCAUGAUGAUCCAUCUUUAAUCUAAUUCUAACAAGGAGCCUAAAAUAUCACUCAUAAUAAAUAAAUUCUGUCUUCAUCACUUAUAUCUCAUUACAUAAUUUUAUUAUUUAAAUAAUUUUGAGGAUAGAUUAUUUGAGUUUAACAGGAAAAUUUUUAAAAUUAGGUAAAUAUAAAUUCUAAUUAUUCCAAGUUUGGGAUUAAGAUAUUUUUAAAAUUGAAUAAAUUUGGGUUUAAAUAUUGAGUCUAAGUUAUGUUUAAAUAAAUUUGAAUUCACAUCAAUAUAGAUAUGGGUUUUGAUAAUUUUAAAUUACUGAUAUGAGAUCGUAUUAAAUUAAGUAUUUUAGAUUGAAGUUUUAUGUUGAUGUCAUAAUUCACAAAUUAAACAUUAUCCAUCGAAGUUGGAUGUUAAGUUUUCAAAACCGAAUUGCUAGUUGAACUGAUCAAACUAUUAUCAAUUAGGUGGUUUGUAAACAUUAGUUGCCCUCCACAGCGCUUGGUUCUCGAUUUGACUAGACCAAUCAAAUUGUUCAAUUUAAUUAAACAAAUUCAUAAAAGAAUAAUGAUUGUUCGAACUACACCAAUCAAUUGAAAAUCGGUUGAUCUGAGAAUCAGUACGGGCCGAUUACAUUGGCUAAAAAUACAGAUUGAAUUGAUUUUUUUUUAUUUUUUAAUAUAUCUUUUAUAAAACUUUUAAUAAUUUAUUUAUUCAAACUGUAAAAUUGAAAAAUAAAAAAGACUAACUCAACCAAUUUUUCAAUCCGGUUCAACCGAUCUAAUCCUCUCUUCAAACCAAUACCUUGACCGAUUCUCAAUCUAACCAAUAUAAAUGAAAACAAGAACCUAACCAUUUUAAUAAAAUAGAAAUCCAAUUGAUAUUUUGAACAUUUAAGCAACAAAUAAAAGAAUCAAGCAAAAGUGACUGUUAUCCAUUAUUUACUUUCAUGUAAAUCACUAGCAGUAUAAUACUUACAAAUCAAUGGUAAAAGCCGUGAUUUCAAAGGUAAAAAAUUUUGGUGAUAUCUCAUGAAAAAAACAUAUCAUUCAUUUGCAAACAAUUCGCCAAUAAAAUCUGUAUGAAAAAAAAAACUGUUGAUAGCAAUGGAAUCUUUACAGAGAUAGUAUUACCAUUUUCAAGACAUAGAGUUCCCGCUAUGAUUUUGGCUAUUUUUCUUUGUACUUCCCGUCUCGAUUUCCCGAGUAGUUUGGCCUUCGGUCGAGCCGGAAGGGUAUAAACCGUACUCGCUGGUCUGUUCACUGUACUCACUACUAGCACCGUAUUCUAGCGAGCCUAAUGCAGCCCUUCGGAGCCUUUUCAUGUCUUCGUUGUAGUGGCUUGCAUCAUAAUCUGAGCUUCCUCCAUAUGAACUGUACACAUUGCUUUGUCCCGGUCUCAUUCCUUCGUUGAGAUCCGAUAACGACGAUUCUCCUUCUAAAGCUCGUACGAUCUGUGCUCGGUUGCAAGUUACGGGUUAGAAUCAAAUAAUGAGUGGAAUGUAAAGAGUGGUGGCUCUAGACCCAUUUACCUGGCUCAUUCGUGGUCGACGUCGUGCUGAAUGUCGAACACAAGCAGCAGCACAAGCAACCAUACGAGCCAUCUCGUUGUGGUUAUAUUCCUUUUGUAACCUUGGAUCGAUGAGAUUGUUGAAUGUUCCGUCUUCUAAUGCUCUUGAGAGUAAUGGCCUAGCCUGCAAUAGGCAAAGUAAGGUUUACUCGAUAAAAAAGGAUCCUAAAAAGCUUAAACCAGUCCAAAGCAAUAAUAACUAACCCAUUCGACCAAACUAUCCUCGGCAUAAGACGAGCCAACCGGUCUGUGUCCGCUAAUCAACUCCAACAGCAUGACCCCAAAAGAGAAAACAUCCGAUUUUUCCGUCAAUUUUCCGCUCGAAGCAUACUCGGGAGCCAAAUACCUGGAACAAUGAGAAUACUAACAUAAAAUCACUUUUCUUGUGAACCAAGCAACAACAAUGGAUGAAGUCUUCUUACCCAAAAGUACCCAUCACUCUCGUGGAUACAUGAGUGUUGACAUCAGAAAAGAACUUUGCAAGUCCGAAAUCGGCAACCUGAAAACCAAAGUUUAUCGUUAUCUCGAUGAAGAAGUAGCAAGAGAAAAAAGCACAUUCGCUCGAGCGAAGUAGAACGGCCACAUAAUCUAAUUCAUGGUUGAAUGUUCAGCAAUGUCAAGAAAUCAAAAUGAAUGAAACCGAUACCUUAGCCUCGAACUUGAAAUCUAAAAGAAUAUUAGCCGCCUUAAUAUCGCGAUGAAUGAUCUUAGGAUUACCUGAAAAACCACGAAACCUGUUACUGAAAAAGAUCGAGAUCUUACUUCUAGAGCAAGUAAACAAGGGAGAGAGGCAAUUAGCAUACAAUCCUCGUGAAGAUAUGCAAGUCCUUUUGCAGAUCCUAAAGCAAUUAUCAUCCUUGUUGGCCAAUCCAUUGUAGGUCUCCCUUUUCCUACAAUUAGUACUCGAUAAUCGGUAUUGGAUCGAUUUACCGGAAAGGUUCAAACAUCAAUUAGCAUACAGUCAAAAGGCAGUCUUACCGUGCAAGUGAAACUCCAAUGUGUUGUUCGGAACAAACUCAUAAACAAGCAUUCUUGUUGUCCCGGAGAUACAGUAUCCGACCAAUGAAACAAGAUGUUUGUGAUGAACGCGGCUGAUAAUCUCGACUUCUGCUUGGAAUUCUCUUUCCCCUUGUCCACUUCCGGCCUUAAGUUGCUUGACUGCAACUUCCGUUCCGGUUGGGAGAACUCCUCUGUGCACGUACCCGAAACCGCCUUGCCCAAGAAGGUUUGCAUCGGAGAAGCCAUCUGUUGCUCUUGCUAGUUCCUCAUAAGUAAACUUGCUCUUGGUGAAACCAAGUGCAAUGCCGGGUGAGGGUGGUGGAAGUGGAUUUUCGGAACCUGAAUUAUUAGAACCGGAACCUCCACUACUGCUCAUGAAAGGCGGUGGUGGUGGAGGUGGUGGCAUUGAUGGCAUAGGAGAAUCUUCCGGAGAUGGUGGUCUCCAUGCCGUAACUGGCGGAGUUGGAUUAGGCAAAAUUGCACCGUAUUGAUUGACACGCGGUGGAGGAUUUUGUGGCCACCGGUAUUGUUGGCCACCGUGUGGAUGAUCUGAAAGAAAAAAAACAUUUCAACAAUCCGAUUUGACUCGAAUCUAAAACUAACUUGAACUUAAUCAACUAAACACAAAAUGAUUCAAAUUGUAGACAAUCCAAAACCAAGUAACUCGGAAUCACCUGCAAAAUCACAAUUCAAAAUAAUCCCUGCAUGCAACGAUCGGACACAAAAAACUACCAGAAAUAUCAAAGUGAUCUUAACUCGAAAUGAUCAAAACUGACCCGAGCUGGAACGGAUUGAAUCAGAGAUAAUCCGAAAUUGACUAGAAUCAAAAUUACUAUAAUUCCAGGGAAAAAGUCUGACCUUUAGGAGGCCCAGGAGGUGGAGGCGGCGGCGCGUAGUAAAUUUCGCCGUCGUCUCUUCUUCUUCUCCUUUUCUUUUGACAACAUAUAAACAGCAAGCUCAAAACCAACAAUAUUGCCACUCCCCCUAUUGCUAUACCAAUAACCAGUCCGGUCGAUACACCACUGCUUGAUGACGGUGGCGACGGAGGAGAUGGAGUUCCUGAAUUCCUCGAAGGAGGUGGUGGUGGAGAUGGAGUACCUGGACUUCUCGGGGCAGGUGGCGAUGGAGUUGACGUAGAAGGAGGUGUAAGAGAAGGGGUAAAGGAUGGUGGUGGAGAUGCUGCUUCUGAAGGUGGAGGAGAUACAGAUGAUGUUGGAGGAGGCGAUGAAGCGGAGGGGGAAGGAGUGUUGCUUGAAGGAGGAGGAGCUGAUGGGGUGGCUGGAGGUGGAGAUGGGGUACCAGAUGGCGGGGAGGGAGGACUAGUUGGCGGCGGAGCUGCUGCGGUUGGUGGUGGUGUAGAAGGAGUGUUAGUUGGCGGCGGAGUUGCUGCGGUUGGUGGUGGUGUGGCAGGAGUGGUAGUUGGCGGCGGAGUUGCGGUGGAUGGCGGCGAUUGGGAAGGAGGACUACUCGGCGGCGGAGCUCCGGCUGCAGAUGGCGGUGGAG
rnacentral:lncRNA from 1 species